GUUUAGUGAGCUGAAAAUGAAACCCGUCGGCUGCUGGGACUCGAUGAUUAUGGGUUUGGCUGUCCAUGGUUACUGCAACGACCAACGAGGCUCUGGAAUUGUUUGAAACCAUGGAAAUGCAGCAUGGUGAAGUUAGGCCCAAUCGGAUUACACUCAUCGGCGUUAUCAUUGCUUGCAGCCACAAGGGUUUGGUGGAAGAAGGACGCCAGUAUUUCAGUCACAUGAUCAAAACAGUGCCUUGAGGCGCAAGCUCCUUGCUGUGGAGGACCUUGUUGGAUGCUUGUAGGUUACAUGGGAUGGAAACGUAGAAUUGGCGGAACAAAGCUUCCGGCAGCUUGCGAAAUUGGAGCCUCUAAGGGAUGCAGAUUAUGUUUUGUUGUCAAACAUCUAUGCAGAAGCAGAAAGAUGGGACGACGUUGAGCGGUUGAGGAACGAGAUGAUUUGUUAGGGAGUCCCCAAGACGCUCGGCUUCAGCCAUGUAGACACGAAGUAAUUGGAGAUAAGUUAUGAUUUUAUGGAAACUUAUAUCUGCACACCUUUUUUCUCCUAUUCGUACAAUUUAUCUCUCUCACUUCGCCUUCGACCUAUUCGAUACAAAGGCUAAAAAUAAACAAGAACGUACAAGUGAGAAGGUGUGCGGAAAUCACUUUUUCUUUUUGUUUUCAGCUUUGAAAAUCUUUGUGAAUGGUGGUUCAAGGACCACCUGGUAAUUUCCAUUGAAAGUAGGCUAGCAGGCAAGCAAUGGUGCUGUGCCUGCACUUUGUCUGUGUUUGCAUGUUGGCGUGUGAUAUUGGAACUUUGAAGGACUGAUGAAAGCAACAAUGCAUGGCCAUGAUCAACCCUUUACUCUGUUCUUAAGGGUGUCAGAUGGAUGUCACUGUCUACUAUCUUGGGUAUAGACAGAGGUUCCCUCAAUAAAAGCAAAGAAAGUUACCUCCACCUAAAACGUACUUACCACACACAAGAUGCUACAGUGAUGAUAGUUUAUUUUAUUUUUAGAAUUAGAAUGGUGUCAUAUAGACAAAGGUUCCUUUAGUAAAAAAGAGAAAAUUUACUUGUAUCUAGUAUGAACUUACCUGUAAUUAGAAUGCAUUAGAAUGUCAUGAUUGCAGUGUCCUAAGUUAAUCACUAACUGUCAGGUGCCUUUACAUUUGUAUAUAGGAGUGAGGUACUAUCACGAGCAUCUCAAGUGUAGGAUAACUUCGGUGAAACAAGUACAACGUCUUUGUGAUGUUACGCACUAAUGAUAAAAUAUCACGUGGAAACUGUCCCUAAUAAAAUGGUUAACUUGAGUUCGUCCCAAGCCAUAUAUUUAGGAGAAAGGUACAUUUGGCUCUUGAACUUAAGUGCACUUGUACAUUUGCCGGUCCCAAGCCCGGAUAAAGGAGGAGGGGGAGGGCGUCAGGUAGUCGACAGCCGGCACUCCACAGUUACGUCGAAUCCUUAUGACAAUGAAUCCAGAACGAAAUUGCGCUAAAGCUAGGACGUCACCCGUAAGUGGCGCACUGUGUGGCCCGAGCACAGUGAUAAGUGAGCAAGGGUCGCUGUAUCUCCAUCGGCACCCGGAUGCAGUGUUAAAUGAGCAAGGGGGCCAUAGAAACUUCUUUUCGAACGACUCCACUCAAAGUUGUUUGGGAGCAUAUGCUCCUAUCAACUUUACACAGGACACACAAAAGAAGUACUUUGAUCCUAUUAGACGGGGGAUGGUGAAGAAGCUAGGACAGAAGGGUAGAGUUCAAGAGAGUAGAAUGCGUUUAGGAACGUGGAAUAUAGGAACCUUAACGGGAAAAUCUAUAGAAGUAAUGGAAGUUAUGGUGAGGAGAAGUAUAAAUAUUAUGUGCCUACAAGAAACUAAGUGGGUUGGUCUUAAGGCAAAUGAUCUAGAAAACUCAGGGUUUAAGCUUUGGUAUUCGGGCACAAAUAGAACGAGAAACGGUGUUGGCAUCAUUGUGGACAAGACCUUGACACAAGAUGUUGUAGAUGUCAAGAGGGUAGGAGAUAGAAUCAUGGCAAUCAAGAUUGUAAUAGGACAAGAACUCAUCAAUGUGAUUAGUGCGUACGCACCUUAAGUAGGGUUGGAUACGAGUUCGAAGGAGAAAUUUUGGGAAGACUUUGGAGACUUGGUGCAAGGAAUUGCUCAAACGGAGAAGUUAUUUAUAGGAGGAGAUUUAAAUGGACACGUGGGCAGGGAGACAGGCAACUAUGGAGGCUUUCAUGGUGGCUAUGGUUUUGGGGAGAGAAACGAGGAUGGGGAAGCUAUCUUGGAUUUUGCAAUGGCAUAUGAUCUCUUCUUAGCCAACACCUUCUUUAAGAAGAGAGAAGAACAUGUGAUCCCCUACAAGAGUGGGUCGUCAAAAACACAAAUAGAUUUUCUUCUAAUGAGGAAAGGGGAUCGUAUAACUUGUAAGGAUUGCAAAGUUAUAUCGGGGGAGAGCUUGGCUAAUCAACAUCGCUUGUUAGUGAUGGAUGUACAUAUUAAAAGAGUGAGAAAAAAGAACAAGACUUGGAAGUGCCCAAGGACUAGAUGAUGGAAUAUAAAAGGAGAAAAACAAGUCAUUUUCAAAGAGAAAGUAAUCACUCAGUGUGUGUGGGAUAAAGAUGGGGAAGCUAGCCAAAGGUGGGAUUCCAUGGCUAGCUGUAUCCGAAAAGUAGCAAAAGAGGUAUUAGGAGAGUCCAAGGGCUUUGCUCCACACCAAAAGGAAUCUUGGUGGUGGAAUGAGGAGGUACAAACAAAGGUGAAGGUUGAGAAGGAAUGUUGUAAAGCCUUAUACAAGGAUAAGACCGAUGAAAAUGGUGAAAGGUAUAGAAGAACGAAGCAAGAGGCGAAGAAAGCCGUGAGAGAAGCUAAGUUAGCGGCUUAUGACGAUAUGUAUAAGCGACUAGAUACCAAAGAAUGAGAGUUGGAUAUCUAUAAACUAGCUAGAGCAAGGGAAAAGAAGACAAGGGACCUAAACCAAGUGAGGUGCAUCAAGGAUGAGGAUGUAAAGGUUCUUGCUACAGAGAACGCGGUCAAAGACAGAUGGAGAGGUUAUUUUCAUAAUCUUUUCAAUGAAGGACAUGAAAGGAGUACUUCUUUAGGGGAGUUGAGUAACUCAGAAGAGUGUAGAAACUACUCCUUUUAUCGUCGAAUCAGGAAGGAAGAAGUGGUUGUAGCUUUGAAGAAGAUGAAGCAUAGAAAAGCAGUGGGCCCAGACGAUAUACCGAUUGAAGUGUGGAAAGUUUUGGGAGAGACAGGUAUAGCAUGACUCACUGACCUUUUCAAUAGGUUUUUGAAAACGAAGAAGAUGCCAAACGAGUGGUGAAAGAGCACCUUGGUGCCUAUUUACAAGAAUAAAGGGCGACGUACAAAAAUUGCAUGAACUAUAGGGGUAUUAAGCUAAUGAGUCAUACAAUGAAGCUCUGGGAGAGAGUCAUUGAGCAUAGAUUGAGGCAAGAGACACGGGUUUCGGACAACCAAUUCGGGUUCAUGCCAGGGCGCUCAACCAUGGAGGCAAUCUAUCUCUUACGAAGAUUGAUGGAAAGAUAUAGAGAUGGGAAAAAGGAUUUACACAUGGUCUUUAUAGAUUUGGAAAAAGCGUAUGAUAGGGUCCCAAAAGACAUUCUUUGGAGGAUUUUAGAGAAAGAAAUGGAGUACGAGUAGCAUAUAUCCAAGCUAUAAAGGAUAUGUAUGAAGGAGCAAAGACUGCCGUAAGAACUCAUGAAGGACAAACCGAAAGCUUCCCCAUAACUGUAGGAUUACAUCAAGGCUCAUCCUUAAGUCCUUACCUUUUUGCGUUGGUAAUGGAUGAGUUAACAGGACAUAUUCAAGAUGAUAUUCCUUGGUGUAUGCUUUCGCAGACGAUAUAGUGUUGAUAGAUGAAACUCAGGAAGGGGUAAAUGCGAAGCUUAACCUUUGGAGAGAAGUGUUGGAAUCUAAAGGUCUUCGCCUAAGCCGAUCAAAGACAGAAUAUAUGGAGUGCAAGUUCAGUGCAAAUGGAGGCCAAAAUGAGUUAGGGGUGAGGAUCGGAGAUCAGGAAAUACCAAAGAGCGACCGUUUUCGCUACCUAGGAUCUAUCUUGCAAAAGAACGGAGAAUUAGAUGGAGAUCUCAACCAUAGAAUACAAGCUGGAUGGAUGAAGUGGAAGAGUGCAUCCGGCGUGUUGUGUGAUCCGUCGUAUGCCACUGAAGCUCAAGGGAAAAUUUUAUAGGACGGCAAUAAGGCCGGCGAUGCUGUAUGGCACAGAAUGUUGGGCGGUGAAGCAUCAACACGUACACAAAAUGGGUGUAGCGGAGAUGAGGAUGCUUCGUUGGAUGUGUGGGCACACGAGAAAGGAUAAGAUUAGGAAUGAGGAUAUCCGAGGUAAAGUAGGAGUAGCCGAAAUUGAAGGAAAGCUGAGAGAAAAUCGGUUACGGUGGUUUGGACAUGUGCAAAGAAGGCCUACUGACGCUCCGGUUAGAAGAUGCGACUACGGGACAGAGGUUCAGGGCCGAAGGGGUAGAGGAAGACCUAGGAAAACUUUGGAAGAGACUCUAAGAAAAGACUUAGAGUACUUGGAUCUAACGGAGGACAUGACACAGGGAUCGAGCACAAUGGCGUUCUAAGAUUCAUAUAGCCGACCCACUCAGUGACUUGGAUUUUUCAAGUCUCCAAUCGAGAAGUUUUCCCCACUCGGGAAAUUAAGGGAACACUACCUCAACCUACAUGCUCCACUCACAAAGCUUCAACAACAGCUUCAACAUACAAGCUUCAACAAAAGAAAAAUUCAAAGAACUUAGUGAAGAAGGCUUUGGUGUAUUUAACACAAUACGUUGAAAUGAAACAAAGCUUAUUUAUUGAUAUCUCUAAUAAGUUACAAAUAUGUACAUAUACAUGAGUCAAAAUAAACAAACAAGAGGGAGCCUUCACAAAGGUUGCUUAGGAGAAGUCUCAGCAGUCGGUAGAGCCCCAGAAAGAGAAGGCACCGGAGGGGGAUCAUUCGGAGCCUCAGUACUGGACAGAACCCUAGAAGGAGGAGGCAUCGGAGGUUGAUCAUUUGGAGCUUCAUUACGCGGUACAGCCCCAGAAGACGAAGGCAAUAAAUGCCUUUGGAACAAACCCACAAACCUCUGAUGAUCAAGUAAAAUCCUGACCAUCAGAUUCCUUCAUCUGGUCAAGCUUCCUCUUCAUGUUUGUAGCAUAGUCAUGUGCGAGCCGGUGCAACUGUUUAUUCUCAUGCUUGAGCCCUCUAAUCUCCUGUUUGAGACUCAUCACUUCAGCCGCCAAUGAUUCAACUUGGCGGGUUCGAGCAAAUAGGCGUUGGGCCAUAUUAGACACAGAACCUGCACACUGAACACUGAGAGCCAGAGAAUCCUUAACAGCCAACUCAUCAGACCGUUUGGAAAGUAGUCUGUUAUCUAUCUUGGGAGUGAGAAGGUUCCUGGCCACCACCGCAGCGGUCAUAUCAUUCUUCAUCACGGAAUCCCCAACGGUAAAGAGGACCAGUAGGGAUAAGAAGGAUGGGCGCCAUAUGUUGUCUGGAGAAGGCGUGGCUGCCUCUUCAACAAGGUUCAAGUCAAAACGACGGUCGGAGAGGCCAGACAUUUUCAAAGGUGUGGAAGAGAGAAGAGGUCGGACAAAUCAAGAUCUUAGAAAUGCAAGAAGGGAGCUUCUACUGGUGGAGAUUCAAGUGUGCUUUGGAACUUAAUGCCAGCCUCUAUAAAAAAUCUGCACUCGAUGGAGCUUCAGAAAUCGAAGAGGCGCCUGCUCAGAAAUCGAAAAAGGCGUUUGCUUUCUCAAAAGCUGGGCUGCUCAGAGACCACGAGGGCCGAUCUCAGGAAAUCGAAGAGGCGUUUGCUUUCUCAAAAGCUGGGCUGCUCAAAGACCACGAAGGCGAUCUCAGAAAUCGAAGAGGCGCUUGCUUUCUCAAAAGCUGGGCUGCUCAGAGACCACGAGGGCCGAUCUCAGAAAUCGAAGAGGCACCUGCUUUUUCAGCCUUGUCAGCACCUGUCACAUGCACACUCAGCUUUGCGGAAAUCACGUGAAUCUUACUGUUCAAUCAUCCACUUUCCACACGCAACAUCAGCUCAUGGGUACCACAGAUAACUUUGCCAAAAAUCUCUGACAAAGUUUAGACACGUGAAGCUUGCAGCUCCCACUACAUCGCUAUGACCAAGAAGGGUAAAAGAAUAGCAAAGAAACAGCACUAACAAAGUUUAGACACAUAAAUUUUGAAGGUCUAGCUACCAUAUUAUUACCCACAAGGGUAAAGGAACAGGACCACUGCUGGAUAAUUGGAAAGUCCCUGUGUGUCAACCUCUGUGCUCUGUGGCAAGGUAGACUAGCAAACAUGCCCAACCUUUACUCACAUUCGAGAAAACACUCCCAACAAGAUUGCUUGCUUCCAAGAAUCGAAGAGGCACCGCCCUCCGAAUCUCGAGAGCCAGGCUCCCAACAUGAUUACUUUCUCAAAAAUCGACGAGACACCGCUCUCCGAAUCUCGAGAGCCAGACUCCUAGCAGGAUUGCUUUCUCAAAAAUCGAAGAGGCACCGUUCUCCGAAUCUCGAGAGACCAGAUCCCCGACAGGAUUGCUUUGUUCGAAAAACCGAAGAGGCACCGCUUUCUCAACUUCGAGAGCCCCUUAGAUAAAGCUUGUUUGUAAUCCUCACACCACUUUCUCAACUUCGAGAGCCAGAUCUUCUUGGAUAAAGCUUGUCUGUAAUUUUCACACGUAACAUCAGCUUUCCAGAUACCACAGACCACUUUUUCAAAGUGCUCUGACAGAGUUAAAAACACGUGAAGCUGGCAGCUCCCACUACCGUGCUAUGACCAAGCAGGGUAAAGGAAUAGCAUUACUCCUUGUUGUUAGGGAGACUCAUAUAUAUGUCGACCUCCAUCCUCAACGGACAGGCAGACCUGCAAAAAUGCUCAACCCUUCCUCAUAUCUGAGAGGGCACUCCCAACGAAGCCUCUCGAAAUACUCAGCUUUCUUUCCCCCCGAUAAUACCUCUGCAAACAAGCUACACUAGAGCAAGAAUAUCUCAUAUCAUCAGGGUUAAAAGCAAGAGUAUCCCAUAUCAUGCUUUUUCCCUAUCUUUUUCUUUGGCCUUGUUCUUACCUGCAAGACAAUGAGAAAGAGAGCAAUCAGUCAGCACUUGGAAUCAAGCUUCCAGUCCGGAAUUGACUGCCUGGAACCCCUUACCUGAUUACUUACCUGGCAUUGCUCUCGAGUACUCAUCGUCAACAUCUUAUGCUUCUCGAGAAGAUACCACAUCUGCCUGAGGAACAAAUAGGGCAAGUGAGAAGGAUACAAGGAAGCAUGUGGAGACAAGCGCAACAGAACACGUGCCGAUACAUCCACUACUUGGUCAACAGCAAAAGUAUCCCAUAUCAGCAGGGUCGAACGUACUCUAGAUUUGAUGGACUUGUUUUGACCCUUAAAUUCUUCAGUCGGCCUUAUACUCUGGCGGAAACCAGAAAACUCUCUAGCCCAGUUCAAGAAUAAGCCUGUGGAAAGUUACUUCUUCAAAAGCAAAAGUAUCUCAUAUCACCUUUUCUUUUUCUUCUCUUUAUCCUUCAUGCUGCCUGCAAGAUAAGGAGAAUGAUAACAAUCAGCCAGGAACUCGAAAUCAAACUUCUGAUCUGGGACUGAUUGCUUAGAGCUCUGAUUGCUUACCUUGUCUAUCACCUCUUUCAGCAGAUCCCCUAGCUUGGCGACUUGGGAAACUCUUACUACAUGGUUUGUAUCGCGCUUGACCAAGCCUGAAACUACAAGUAAGCGUUCAAGUGAAAUUGAUACAUUACCUUGUGCAUCUCCACCAGUUAAAGAUGCCACCCCUGGAGGGAGGAAUAAUACUUCCAAAGAAGAUGCCACAUCUACCUAUGAGACAGAUAAGGCAAGUGAAGACGAUACCACACUUCGGUACUUAAAAGUUUCGUGAUUACGAGAUCAUUCUCCCAUAAUAUUUCCUAAUGUCAUUUGUACUAAAUCAUUCACUUGUACUCACUAAAGGAGAGCUUGAACCUAUGUAUUGUGUAAACCCUUCACAAUUAAUGAGAACUCCUUUACUCCAUGGACGUAGCCAAUCUGGGUGAACCACGUACAUCUUGUGUUUGUUUCCUGUCCCUAUCCAUUUACAUACUUAUCCACACUAAUGACCGGAGCAAUCUAGCGAAGAUCACAAACUUAAUAUUUAAGAUGAUAUUCUUUGGUGUAUGUUUUUCGCAAACGAUAUAGUGUUGAUAGAUGAAACGCAGGAAGGGGUAAAUGCGAAGCUUAACCUUUGGAGAGAAGUGUUGGAAUCUAAAGGUCUUCGCCUAAGCCGAUCAAAGACAGAAUAUAUGAAGUGCAAGUUCAGUGCAAACGGAGGCCAAAAUGAGUUAGGGGUGAGGAUCGGAGAUUAGGAAAUACCAAAGAGCGACCGUUUUCGCUACCUAGGAUCUAUCUUGCAAAAGAACGGAGAAUUUGAUGGAGAUCUCACCCAUAGAAUACAAGCUGGAUGGAUGAAGUGGAAGAGUGCAUCUGGCGUGUUGUGUGACCGUCGUUGGAUGUGUGGGCACACGAGAAAGGAUAAGAUUAGGAAUGAGGAUAUUCGAGGUAAAGUAGGAGUAGCCGAAAUUGAAGGAAAGAGGAGAGAAAAUCGGUUACGGUGGUUUGGACAUGUGUAAAGAAGGCCUACUGACGCUCCGGUUCGAAGAUGUGGCUACGGGACAGAAGUUCAGGGCCGAAGGGGUAGAGGAAGACCUAGGAAAACUUUGGAAGAGACCCUAAGAAAAGACUUAGAGUACUUGGAUCUAACGGACACAAAACUGAGCGCAAUGGCGUUCUAGGAUUCAUAUAGCCGACCCCACUUAGUGGGAAAAGGCUUUGUUGUUGUUGUUGUUGUAUUUUUAUGGAAAGACUUUCCCUUAUAAGCAAGUAAUAAGUACGGGUCUAAAACUAGUCACUGUUAUUUUCCCCUCCAUACGAGUAAAAAUCAUUCCCUUUUCCAGUAUUACGAGGAAUACCAAGUGUAAGAUAUAUUCUGAAAUCACAACAAUAAAACUUUAUUACUUUGGUUGUAAUUAAGGCUGCAUUAUCACAUGAAUAUCAAAUAACCUCAAUAUCAUUACCCCGAUAGUUAAGUGACUAAGGGACAAUUUGAGAUUGUUGUGCAUUUUAAAAAAACCGCUUCAGCUAUGCUUUAUGAAUAAUCAUAUGUGAAGUAAAACAGAUAAGCGUUUGGUUAACUGUAUUUGAAACAUGUUGUGAGUUUGAAAAGCAGUGUGAAAGCGCUUGGUAAAUUUUAAUGAAAAAAUGAUAUAAUUGUAUAUAAUGACAAAAUGGACAUGGUAGUAGGAGUGGGGGAACGACAGCAGUGGCGUGAUAAUGGUGGUAAUGGUGGUGAUGGUUGUAAUGGUGCUGAUGGUAGCAGCAAUGGUGGAGGUAUGGUGGUGGUGCUAAUAGUAGGAUGUAAUGGUUUGGGUGCAGAGGUAACAUUGGAGGUAGAGCAGUUUGUAGCACCAGUGGUGGCGGCGAUGAUGGUGGCAAUGAUGGUGGUGAUAAUGGUGGUGGAGACAGUUGUGAUUGUGGUGACAAUGGUGGUUGUGGUUACAGUGGAAGAGGUUGUGUUUGUGGUCCCAGUAGUGGAGGUGAUAACACCAUAGUGGUCGCUUAUUCUCUAAGAGAUAAAAUGUGUGUGGAAGACUAAACAUGUCAUUUUCAAAAAAUUAAUGAAGUUAUUACAAUAAUUGAAAAUAUUCAUUAAAGACUCAACUUAGCUUUUUAUUAAAGCAGCUUCUAAAAACAACCUACAUGAUGCUUUUAAAAGCUGUUAUCUGGAGGCCAUAGCUUUUAAAAUAGGAAACUUUAACUAAAAGCUCUCGGUACUGUUCACUUUAAUGAAAAACCAUAUUUUUACACUAAAAAGUCAAUCUUGGUACUUUUCACUUUACUUUUUAUUUUGUCCUUAUCAUUAAAACUCAAAGUUUUCAAACCAUUUUCAUUAGUUCUCAUUUUAAAAUAAGCAUAAUAUUUUACUUUUACCAAACCUUUUUUUUAUUGCUUAACUUUAAAAUGUAACCGUUUUUGAUGAAAAAAAAAAACAAUACAAAGUAAAGCAAUAACAUCCGUUAGAAUUUUGCCCGUUAGAUAAUUUGAAUUCUAUAAUCAAUAAAAAAAAAAUUGAAUUGAGCUCUUGUAAAAACGUAGAUUCGAACUCUUUGGAUAGUAAAUCUACCAUCUAAUGUAAUUUCAGUGGGAUAAUCCACCACUUCCGAUAUUUUGCCUUUGUGAAAUUUCUCGAAUGAUGUUGAGCCAAAAAUAAAUUAGUAAAAUAAAACAAAAUAGAAAGAAAGUCAGACCAACAAGGCAACAACAAUUGAGCUGCAACCCUCGCCGUCUGAUCAAAUCAGAAACGCACGUGGCGGAAUCACGUUGCCCAAAAACAAAUCCUCGAAGUCAAUGCCCUCUCCUCGUUGUAACUCGCAAGCUGGUAGAAAGUAAGCGAAAUUUACACAGAGAGAGAGAGAGGGAGAGAGAGAAUUGUAGACCGUAGAGAGAGAGAGAGAAAGGGAGAAGUACACACGCAGAAAGAGAAUGAGAAAGAUUGGAUAAUCUUUCCAUGGAUUUUUGAGAUCUAGAGGAAGAAGGAGAAAGAGCUCCAGCUUGUUCGACAUAUCGAUUUCCAAUCGAAGAUUUUUCACAGUCAAACUUAGCAGCCGAAGAACACGGAGGGGAGGGAGAGAGAGAAGUCAGCCGAAGAAAAAGUCCCGAGCUUUCCAGAGAAUAUGUUCGAACAGAGAAAUCUCCAAAAACCCAAUUCAGAAAACGCCACGAUUCUCCAAUCCCCUGUGGGUUUCCGGGAAAGUUUCCAACUUGGUCCUUCGAAUUGAGCUCCAGAACCCGAACAGGCAACUGGGUUUUGGGUUUCGGAUUUCGGGUCGGGUUUUAUCAUCCGUGAUCAGAGGAAGAGUGAGAGGGGUUUGGGGCAGUAGUGUGAUGAGAAAUGGGAGAAAAUGCAGGAGCUUUGCACACAGCUGUGAACUCCGUACAGGCAUUAGGAAGAGGCUUCGACGUGAACUUCGAUACAAGGUUGCUCUACUGUAAGGGAGCGGCGGGUACGAGGAUUCUGGAGCUUGACGAGGAGCACACCAGGGAUCUCCGCCUCUAUGAUGAUAUUGUUGUGCCGGGUGUUUCCAGGGACAUCAGGCAUUCGCAGGAGGCUGGCGGCCGGCAGAGCUCUGGAGUCUGCAGUUUUGAUGAGGUAAUGCUUAUGAUUUCGUUGUCUCGAAUUGUUGUUUGAUUGUGCACUUAGGUUGUUGUGUUUGCUUUGAGAGUUUUGGUGGAUGUUGCAAGAGUUGGUGAAUUGGGUUUAGGUUGCAAUUUUGCAAACAUUUUACUAUGAUGUGAUUGUAGGGAAAGUGGAUAAGUGUUUAAGUUAUGAGAUUGAUGUUCAUUGAGAAAUAUGUUGCAAAUUUGCGUAAGAAAUGAUGGGUAGUUGCAGAAGAUUAAAAGGAACUUCAUAGGUGGUUUUAUUUUUAAAUUAUGGAUCGGAUUAAUGUGAAGGCAUGGAAAAUGUUCAGCUCCUUACGGCUCCGACUCCAUGUUUUGUGUUCUGCCACGGUUAAUGUGCGAUAACAAUGCUAAUAAAAUUAUUUCCCCAAUAGGUACUAAUGCACUAGCUGCAUUGUGUUAAUCCUUUUUAAUAAUGUACUGGACUAGAAAAUAAACGGGCAAUUGAACGCCUGUAGGUACUUGUUUGAGCGAGUUUAGUAACCAAACUAGGGUCAAAUUUAGUUUUUAAUUAUGUGCACUCAAGAACAUUUAUAUAUCUGUUGCAUUUUUUAAGAGGCUGUCGCUACCUUUUAACUAUGUGUGUGUGCGCGCGCGUGCGUGAUAGAGAGGCAUAAAGUUAUUUAACAUGAUCCUUAUGGCAAAUGGUUGCAGAUGGUUGAGUAUUUCAAUCAAAAGUCUAACGCAUCUGGCGGCUUUCCUCUUGGGAGUUUCAACUUCGCAUUUAGCUUCACUGGUUCAAAGCAUAUUGAUGCUGCAGCCACGAAGACCCUUUCUGUGGAUGGAUUUUAUAUUCCACUUGCUAAGGUCAAGCUUUUUAAAUCACCAAUAGUGUUGCAAGAAAAUGUGAAACAGGCUGUCCCGAGGAGUUGGGAUCCAGCAUCUUUGGCUAGGUAUGAAUAUGUAUAGCCUUAGUAGAAACUUGUGAUGAAAUAGUUUCAAAUGUUCCUUAUUUAAGAUUGGUUACUUUUUCUUGACAGCUUCAUUGAAAAUUUUGGAACUCAUGUCAUAACAUCGGUAACAAUUGGUGGAAAAGAUGUAAUUUAUGUUAAACAACACCAAUCAUCUACUUUGUCAACCACGGAGAUCAAAAGCUAUGUCCAGGAUUUUGCAACUCAGAGGUUCUCAGACACAAAAAGCAAUAGAAGUUCAUGUCAAAUGAAAUCCAAUGAUAAGGCUAGUUCCGCUUUGUUUCUUUUCCUUUUUAUUAUUUUGUAGCCUCUGUCUUUACUUGAAAUUUAGGUUUUGACUGAGUAUCAUUAUAUAUAUUUCAGGGCGGUGAUCCUGGUUUAUUCAACAGUCAAGGGAUAUAUCCUCAACCCACUACGGCACCAUAUCUUGCUGGGAAAGAAGUAUGUAACGUAUUGAUAAUUUGUAUCCAAUAUCUCUGUUGCGCUUGAUGGUUUAUUAUAAGAAAUAAGUUUAAAAAAGUAUAAAAAAGUAUAAAGUUGCUUCUUUCUCUGAACCUCCAUUUUCCUUGAAUGUAAUCUUAUUUACCAUUUCUUAAAUACAUAAGAAGUAUAGAGUAAGCUCUCACCAGCCCUUGAUUUUGGCAUACCUUUGAACAUUUACUUGCAUUUUUACCUGAGUUCUAUUACUUCUUCGAUAUGUUAUUUCUCAUUACCGUCAAUUAUUGUUGAUGCAGGAUGUCACGGUCAUUUUUAGAAGAAGAGGAGGAGACGAUCUGGAACAAAACCACACCCGAUGGGCAAGAACUGUCCGGUCCUCUCCAGACGUAAUCGAGAUGACAUUUUUUCCCAUAACAGCCCUACUUGAAGAGAUACCUGGAAAAGAGCACCUUACUCGAGCUAUUGGUCUUUACCUUGAAUGUAUAACAACUGAACUCAUCAUAGAUGGGUUAGAGUUUUCUUUUUCCUGUAAUGUACUCUAUCAUUAGCAGUAAGGUAAGCCUACUAAACGGUUUUGAAAUCCUUCUUGCAGAUAAGCCUCCAAUUGAAGAGCUGAGAUAUUUCCUAGAGUUUCAAAUUUCCCGAAUAUGGGCUCCUAUGCCCGACAGAAAUAUUGGACACCAAAGAAAGGAACCUGUUUGCCCAUCCUUGCAAUUCAGCAUAAUGGGGCAAAAGCUUUAUGUCAGCCAAGAACAGGUAGCAAUGAAUCUCUCUUCGCUGAGCUCUUCCAUCCUUUGGGAGGCUUGUACUCGUCUUUGGACAGAAUGAGACAAAAAUUUGCUCAAUUUUCUCGUUGGGUGGGGCCUGAAUUGCAUGAGAUCUAACGGAAGACCUUAUUAAGUGCAUCCUGCUUCCUUAGCGUUGGAGUGGGUUCCAAUGGCUAAGUGGUAAAACUAAAACAUUAAGCAGUCUAAUUGACAUGACAAAAACAUUAAUGCUUAUCGUUUAACUCCUCAAUUCAUCAUGUACAGCGCACUGGUGGGACAUCAUGUCCUUGAGAUGUCUAAUAGCCAUUUUUUUAUUUUUUGUGAUCUCUCAUUCUGAGUUCGAUUCAUGGUUUAAUCCUCCUAGGCUGUUUAUGUAAUCUCCAUUAACAAGGUUUUGUGAUCUGCAGGUUACUGUUGGACGGAAGCCAGUGACAGGCAUACGGUUAUGUCUAGAAGGAAGCAAGCAUAAUCGACUUUGUAUUCAUCUUCAGCACUUAGCAUCUCUACCAAAUAUCCUUCGGCCAUAUUGGGGCAGCGAUGUCGCAAUUGGUGCACCCAAGUGGCAAGGACCUGAAGAGCAAGACAGCCGAUGGUUCGAACCAUUAAAAUGGAAAAACUUCUCUCAUGUGAGCACUGCACCAAUUGAGAACCCUGAAGCCUUCACAGGGGACCACUCUGGUGUCUACAUGGUCACUGGAGCACAGCUCGGAGUGUGGGAUUUUGGAUCGAGAAAUGUCUUGUACAUGAAGCUAUUAUAUUCCAGGCUGCCAGGCUGCACCAUCCGGAGAUCCGUGUGGGAUUAUACACCAAAUGAAAAGUCGAAGAAAGCAACAUCCACUGGCGACUCAAGUUCAGGUUUAAGAGAACAUGUCGCUGGCAACAAGUUGGCGAAGUUUGUAGACAUGUCUGAGAUGAGCAAGGGGCCGCGAGACCAUCCUGGUCACUGGUUGGUUACGGGUGGAAAGCUUGGCGUGGAGAGAGGGAAAAUUGUUUUAAGAAUGAAAUAUUCGUUACUAAGUUAUUGAGUCGUUUAUACAUUUUGCAAGAUUGAUGUGCACAGUGGUGGUUUUUUGUUAGAUGAGAGGCGGUGUCUUUUGAUGGACAGAGAGAGAGAGUGGGACGAAGAUUUGUGUCUUUUGGGUGGUCUUAGAGUGAAUGGAUGCUGCCUCUUGAUGUGUUUAUAAGUAAAAGGUUUGAUAUGUUAAGUUAAUUUGAUGAAAGAAACCUUGUUGUAGAGCAAUUAUAUACCUCAUUUUCUAGGAUCAAAUUCAAUUUAAUUGUUCCUCUGGGAGGAGAGUUGUUCUCUUUCAUAUAUUUAGCAAAGCUUAACAAAAAUAAAGGAAAGCAUACGCAAAUGAAUCUGGUUACCAAGGUUUUACUAAAAUUGAAACUUGAGGAAAUUUGAAAUGUCAAUAAAGGAGCACUAAGUUCUGGUUCAUAUACAGUUUAUUGUUAGUUUUGUAUUCCUCUUGUUUAUGUUAAACGUUUGUAAUCGGUUCUAUUUGUGUUUACUUUCUAAAUAUGUAGUUCAGCGUCGGGUUUCCUCCAAUUUUGUUGUUCACUAAUAGUUUAUAACCGAUUUUAUUUGUAUUUUCUGUUGUGUGUAUUUACCAAAAAAUAAUAAUAAAUGAGACAAAACAUAAACUUGGUGGUAUACUUAGCUCGAUGUACAAAAAUUGCAUUUACAUCAUUGAUGUGACAUUAUAAUCUUAUUUUACAAAAAUCAAAGAUACAAACUGCAAGGCAGUUUUAUGGAUAUAUAACGGCUCAUUUUGGUAGUGUUUAAAAUAACUGAAAGUAUUUUUGGUGAAAUUGAUUUUAUGUUUCAGAAGUAUCAGACAUGUGAUUCUUGCAGAAAGCACUUAAAAUGUUUUUUCAGGAUCUACUUGUAUUUUUACUAAAAAUUCAUUUCAAAAACAUUUUCAUCAAAAACACUUUAGUUAUUUUAGAAGUGUUUUCAAAUGAUCCAUAAGUCUAUAAACAAUUCGCUGCUUCCACAAAUGAUCUAAAACUGGCCACCUUCAAUGGUCUGUCCAAACUGCCGGCGGGCACUACAUUGUAGCUGGUGACUCUGCCUGCGUCCGUCACUAGUGGUGACUCUGAAGGAGAGCCUCUGGCGUUUGAGGUAGGAGUUGCUCCGCCAGUUUCCACCCCUGUUUCUUGACAUGGGCAGCCACCCUGUUCUAGAACCCUUGGUAGACAUUGUACGGACAUCCCCUGCACCCCCAACAUUUGUGAUCAACACCAAGUUGAAGUAUGAGUGGCCAUUUAUGGUGAACCUUAUGCCUUCGUCACACAUGGAACACUAAACAAGAAAUUACAACCAAGUAAAUAAUCAAUAGAACUGUUUUAUAUUAUAUUGUCAGACAGUUAAUCUAACCGUUGAUUUAACGAUUUUAUUUUGUUUAUUUGUGCUUUCAUGUUCACAACUUAACAAUAUAACAUGUGUGGAGCCAAAAAUAUUCACAGGGCGACACGUGGAUUUUUGGACAAAAAUGACAAAAAUACCCUUGCAGUACAACGAGGUUCCUACGCGCAAGCAGCGGGCAACCCUCUUUCAACCAAGACAGAAGUGCCCAAAAUAGGUAACAAUUCAAAGUCCAUCUCAUCAAAUCCUUUCUACAAGGUAAUUCCCAAACACAUUCCUUUUAAAUUAUGUUAAUUGGCUAAUUAAUGGGUUUAUACCUAAUUAACCCAUUAAUUGUCAAUUAAACCAUCCAUUAUAUCCAAAUAACUACAAAAUACAUCCAAUUCAACCCUAAAACACCACAUGGCCGGCUAUCCCCAUUUCAAAACCUAAUCCAUCACUUUUUUCUACCUUUUUCACCAUUUCUUCCUUUUUAUUACCCAAUAAAUUCAAAAACCACCAAAACAUUCAUCUUAUGUUUAAUAGCCAAAUAAAUUGGCUAAUUAAACCUAAAUUAAACCUAAAAACCCUAGCCACCUCCUAUCCCUAUAAAUAUACUCCCAUUCUCACCAAAAAGCUAAUUCCAACACUUUGGCAAAAAUCCCAAAAUUCUCUAAACACUCUUUCUCUCUAAAUUAUAACUUUGGCAUCGGAGGUUCUUCGGCCAAAGCCCCCCCCAUUCAUCGUGGGCGCGUGAGGCUCUUGGCCUUAACCUAAGGUGUUAAUUGUUUUGUAGGUGCAAAAUCGUCCAAGAUCGAGGAGGAAGAAAUUUGCAUCCACAACAUGCAUGUAUUUAGCAAAUUGGUACUAUUUUUUUAGGGAUAUUUUGAAUGCGGUCCCUAAUCCUUAACAUUCUUUGAUUUAAACCUUAAUAGUAUUCAAAGUUUGAUCAAUGUCCCUUGACUUUGUACACCUUAUUAUAUUACUAUUAAUAUUUAUAUUUUUAUAGUUUUGACAUUAAUUGUUUGAUAUUUUAUGAGAUUUAUAAUCCUAUAAAUUUUAAAUCCCUCAUUAUAAUACUAUUAGAAACGGUUACAAUAAAAAAAAUUCAAAUAUUUUGAUUGAAUAAAUGGAUAAAAACUAUGUAAAAAUAAGAAAUAAUAAAUGGCAAAAGAAUGUAUCCAUAGUGUUAAAAAAAUGAAUACAUUUCACAUAUAACAAAGUGAUACAUUAAUAAAGAAGAAUGGGUACAUUAGAAAUAAAUUAGGGUACAUAUAAAAGAUUAAAAAUUAUGAAUACAAAUGAAGUUUUAAAAAUAUAGGUGCUAAAAGAAAUUAAUACAUGGGUACAAAAUAAAACUAAAAAGAAAAUACUACAAAUUAAAAAAAAAUGUUGCAAAUUAAAAGUGGGUACAAACUAAAAAUAUAAAUAUAUGAUACAAAGUUUAGGCAUAAAACAUAAAUAUACCAUAUGUAAUUUUUUUAUCAUUGAUUAAAUAUACAAUGUCACGUGAUGGUAUACACAUGGGUACAAACACAAAUAAAACUUUAAAAAAUGAAAAGAAAAUUGGUACAAAUUAAAAAAUAUUUGUAAAUUAAAAAUAGGUACAAACUAAAAAUAAAAAUAUAUGAUAAAAAAUUUAGGCAUAAAUAUAAAUAUACUAAUUAUAACAUUUUUAACAUUAAAGGAAUAUAUUUAAAAAUAAAAAUAUUUUAUUAUUCAAAUAAUUAAUGAUGUUAUUAAUACCCAAGAACCUUGAUCAAAAAUUGAAAAUAAAUAGGAUUUUAAUCAAUGGAGUAAUAAAAAAAAAAAGAUUUUAUGUUAGAAACGUUACCUUCUAAAGAGUACGGCCACAAUUCCGCCACGAUAUUUAGCGAUAUGCAAGAAAGCAGUCUUGGGCAAAUCGAAGUGUUGAAGAGGAGGGCUGUGGCAUGCCCGUGGUAAUUUGCUCUGCUUUAGUUGUUUUGUUUUGUUUUUGUAUUUUUGGUUUUUCUUAAGGAUUGCAUAUGAAAUGCACAAGUACAUUAUUUCAUUUGUACAACAAAAGUAAGUUAAAUUCGGUAAGUUUCGUAGAAAGAUAAUGUUAGGAAGAUUAAAUUUUUCAAAUCAAAUGAUGUGGUGGUUAAUGAUUGGAUAAUUACUUAAACAUUGAUUAAUGUGCUUAAGCGUUGAUUAAUGGUGACACAUCAUUUGGUUUGCAAAUUUGAUUUAAAAUUUUGGUCUCUCUAACAUUACUCUUCAUAGAAUUAUAGGAAACUGAACUCAUCAUGUGUGAUUGCGAAAGUACAUGUAUUUUUCACACUUUUGCUUUCCUUCCUUCCCCUCAUCUCACACUUUUUAUUUUUUCUCUCUCUGUAAAUAAUUAAAAUAAGAUGUUGAUGUGAGUUAACCAUGACUGUUCAAAUAAGUGAGCCAAAAAACUAGAACCACCCACUAUCGCUGGCCCUAGCCUUUGGCUAUGGGGUCGGUGGCAGCCCCCUUUUUUCUUUGUUUUUUCUUCUUUUCUUCCCUGUUUCUUUUGCUAUGUUUCCCACUGAGCUUUUGUCUCAGUUUUACCUUCUCUAAUCGUCUGCCUCUUUUCCCUUCCCCAUCGCACUCUUCUUUCCUCCCCAUCUUUUCCAACCCAUAAUUAGGAGUUAGAUCUUGGAGUUUUGAACUCCAUCUUGACUCAAGACCCUUCAUCCACAGCCCACUGCCGAACCGGCUUAACAGAAAAAUUGGGUGAAAUGUGGAACAAUUCAUGUCUGAACAAGUGUGUCCUGCACACCCCCUUUGCCCUCCCCGUUCUCCUAUUACAUUUGGUGACUUUUUAUGCAGGUGUGGCUGUGGAUAUUGUGUUUCUUGGUGGAUUGAUGGAUCUCAACACUCUCAGAGCUAGCUUUUGGUUUGGGUGCUUUUUUCUAUUUCGGGAGUGAAUUCCCUUCACGGAGGGCGCAACGGCAGUGGUGAAGGAGAACGGGGAGGGCAAAGGGGGUGAAGGGAGAACGGGAGUGAAUUCCCUUCACAGAGGAAGUAAUGUAUAUUAUGGCUAUUAGGUGGUGCGGUAUAAUCGUCCACCUUGCUCUACAUAUUUAAAUUUUCUUGUUGUUUAAAGUAGUGCGGAAUAAUCGCCCAUCCUAUACUUGUUUCGAUGAGAAUGGUGCGGUACAAUUGCCCUUCUCAUUAAUCAUGUAAAUCUCGAGCCUGAAGUUUCGAGUACUUAACAUUUUGGCCUGAAGAUCAAAAAUUUGUAGGAACUAGAAGUUCUAACAAUAUAUUCCUACAGAACACAUAUUAUUGCAAGUUCUUACCCACCUCAUUUUUUUCCAGAAAAGAAAAUGGUAAACUUGGCAAAGCUUGAUUUUGCUGCCCUGGACAUUAAUGGGAAGAAUUACCUUACCUGGGUACUGGAUACCAAGAUCCAUCUGGAAGUAAUGAAUCUUGGUGAUACCAUCAGGGAAGAGAGCAGCUCAUCCUUUCAAGAUCAGGUGAAGGCCAUGAUUUUUAUUCGUCGCCAUCUUGAAUUGGCACUAAAAAGCGAGUACUUAACGGUUGAAGAUCUGUUAGCCCUCUAGAAGGCUUUGAGAAACAGAUACAAUCACCAGACAACAGUGAUUCUUCCAAGAGCUCGCUAUGACUGGACUCACCUAAGGAUCCAGGAUUUCAAUUCAGUGGCUAAGUACAAUUCGGCGUUGUUCAGAAUUACCUCUCAGAUGAAGCUCUGUGGGGAUACUAUUACUGAGGAGAUGUUAUUGGAAUAGACUUUCAGCACAUUUAAUGCCUCUAACAUGCUCUUGCAGUAGUAGUAUAGAGCGCGAGGCUUCACUGAAUAUAACCAGCUGAUAUAUGUGCUCCUGGUAGCUAAACAGAACAAUGAGCUACUGAUGAAACCAUAAUUCCCGACCUACUGGAUCAGCACCGUUCCCAGAAGUGAAUGCUGCUUCCCUUGAAAGGAAUACCAUAUCCUCCUGUGGCAAUAAUUACAAAUGAGGACGUGGCCACAAGCGAGGCCGGUGGAACGGGAAAGGCAAGAACCAUGGUGUCCAAUUUCACAACUAGGUUCCAAGGCAUAAUCCAGGUCCGAGCUUUAAAAAUGCAAAUCCCCAGAAAGGAAAAGCUCAUAUGAACACUCCUAGAAAUCCUGAAGGAGUUUGCCAUAUGUGUGGUGGCAACGGACAUUGGGCGCGUACUUGUCGCACCCCAAAGCAUCUGGUGGAACUGUAUCAAGCCUCCUUCAAGGAGAAGGGUGUUGAGAUCAAUUUCUUCGACCAAACUCAACCAAUAGAAACCCCUGAUCCAGUGACCAAUUUAUAAGGACAGUUAAACACAACCCACCUGGAUGCUACAUACUUUAUUAAUGAAAGAGGGAAUGAAGUUUAUGGGUCCGAUUAAAUUAUUUAUGUUUAAUAUACUCUUGUUAUUUGUACUUGUGGUUUAAUGCUUGCAUUUUUAAUUCAAUAAAAGUAGUAUUCCAGUAUGAAUAAACUGCUUUUUCUUUACUCAGAGAACAUGGAUAAAAAUUAUGGUUAUUCUCAAAACAAGAGUAAUGGCGGAGACUUUUGUCUUGUAGACAACGCAACCUCGCAUUCAAUACUUCGAGAUCGAAAGUAUUUCUCGAAUUUGGUACUUGCAAAAGUAAAGGUAACAACAAUAUCAGGGCAAUCAGAUGUAAUUGAAGGCUCAGGAAAAGCCCAGAUUAUGUUACCAAAUAGAACAAUAUUGUCCAUAAAGAAUGCGUUAUAUGCUACUCGAUCCAUUCAAAAUUUGUUGAGUUUUAAAGACAUACGUCUAAAUGGAUACCACAUUGAAACGAAAAGUGUAGAAAAUGUGGAAUAUUUAUGCAUUACCUCCAAUGAUACCCAGAAGCGUAUAUUGGAGAAGUUGCAUGGUUUAUCGAGUGGAUUGUAUUAUACAUACAUAAAGACAGUUGAGGCAUAUACUGUCAUGAACCAGAAGUUCAUUGAUUCAAAGGUUUACAUGCUUUGGCAUGAUCGUCUAGGUCAUCCAGGAUCUACCAUGAUGCGUAUAAUCAUUACCAAUGGAAGUUGGUAAUUAGACCAUCAUAACUAAAGGUUGAUGAUGAAUCCCCAUCAUUUUUGCAAAGAAUUCAAGGAGAUAUUUGUGGACCUAUUCAACCACCUUGUGGACCAUUUCGAUAUUUUAUGGUUUUGGUUGAUGCAUCUACCCGAUGGUCAUAUGUUUGCCUAUUGUCUACUUGAAAUGUAGCUUUUGCGAGACUUCUUGCUCAGAUAAUUAAGUUGCAAGCACAAUUCCCAGAUCAUCCCAUUAAGUCAAUUCGACUUGAUAACGCGGGUGAAUUUAUGUCUCAAACCUUUGAUGAUUACUGCAUGGCACUGGGCAUUGAUGUUAACAUCCUAUUCCUCAUGUCCAUACCCAAAAUGUUUUAGCAGAGGAAUUUAUCAAGCGGCUUCAAUUAAUAGCCCACACUCUGCUCAUGAAAAUGAAAUUGCCAGUCUCUGCAUAGGGACAUGCCAUCUUACAUGCAGCAUCAUUGGUUCGACCGAGACCUAUAGCCAACCACCAAUACUCAUCAAUACAACUCGUGUUUGGACAUCAGCCAAAUAUUUCACAUUUACGAGUUUUUGGUUGUGCUGUUUAUGUGCCUAUUGCACCGCCACAACGAACUAAAAUGGGACUUCAGCGCAUACUGAGAAUUUAUGUGGGUUUUGAUUCACCAUCUAUCAUUAGAUAUUUGAAACCUUUGACUGGUGAAAUGUUUACAACUCGUUUUUCUGAUUGUCAUUUUGAUGAGACAGUUUUCCCGUUAUUAGGGGGAGAAAAGGCUGUUCCAAAAGAACAGCAAAAGCUGACAUGGGUUGUUCCCACCUUAUCUCAUUUUGAUCCACGAAACAUUCAAUGUGAAAAUGAAGUGAAAAUGAUCGUUCAUCUUCAAGGUAUUGCUAAUCAAAUGCCAGAUGCAUUUAAUGAUGCUUUGAAAGUGACAAAGUCACAUAUACCAGCUGCAAACGCACCUGCAAGAAUUGAUGUCCCUGUUGGACAAAAUAAAGUGGUAGCGAAUGAUUAAUCCAAUGCACGCCUGAAGCGUGGUAGACACUCAGGUUCAAAAGAUUCAGCCCCUCGAAAGAGAAAGAUGAGGGCACAGUUGAACCCAAAUGAAAUCAUUCAAGAAAAGAAAUUGAAUAAUAAAUCCACAAUUCAUGAUUCUAUACUUCUAGAAAAAGAAAAUGUCCUUGAUGGGACACCUGUCCCUGAAGAGACAGAAGUACAUGAAAGUAAAGAAAUAUCCAUAAAUUAUGCAUGUACUAAUGAAUUGUGGGAUCGAAAUGAAAUAAUCAUCGACGACAUGUUUGCAUUUGUAAUAGCCACUGAAAUUAUAUUAAGUAAUGAUAUUGAGCCCCGCUCUAUUGAUGAAUGCAGACAGAGACAAGAUUGACCUCAGUGGAAAGAUGCAAUCCAGGUAGAAUUAAAUUCCUUAGAAAGAAGAAGUGUUUUUGGACCAGUAGUCCAAACCCUGCCUGGUGUGAACCCCGUAGGUUACAAAUGGGUAUUCACAAGGAAACGCAACGAGAAAAACUAGAUUGCAAGAUAUAAAGCACAAUUCGUUGCACAAGGUUUUUCACAAAGACUUGGAAUUGAUUAUGAAGAGACAUACGCUCCUGUAAUGGACGCAAUUACGUUUCGUUACUUAAUAAGUUUUGUGAUUUCAGAAAAACUUGACAUGCGACUUAUGGAUGUCAUCACCGCGUAUCUAUAUGGAGAAUUAGAUAUUGACAUAUAUAUGAAAGUCCCAGAAGGACUUAAGUUGCCUGAAGCAACUAACAAACCACGAGGUAUGUUCUCAAUCAAAUUAAGGCGAUCACUAUAUGGGCUGAAACAAUGUGGGCAAAUGUGGUAUAAACGUCUCAGUGAGUAUUUGAUUAAAGAAGGAUAUGCCAACAAUGUCAUCUGCCCUUGUGUGUUCAUUAAGAAAUUAAAUACUAGAUUUGCUAUAGUGGCAGUAUACGUCGAUGAUAUGAACCUAGUUAGAACCCCUGAAGAGCUCAACAAAACUGCUGAAUAUCUGAAAAGCAAAUUUGAAAUGAAAGACCUUGGGAAAACAAAAUAUUGUCUCGGCCUGCAGAUCGAGCAUUGUGUUAAUGGAAUUUUGGUCCAUCAAUCAGCUUACAUUGAAAAAAUACUGAAGUGAUUUGGCAUGGACAAAGCUUAUCCAUUUAGCACCCCAAUGGUCGUUCGUUAUUUGGACAUUAAGAAAGAUCCAUUCCGUCCAAAAGAAGAUGAUGAACCGGUCCUUGGUCCAGAAGUACCAUAUUUGAGCGUAAUAGGUGCUUUAUUAUAUUUAGCACAAUGUACUAGACCAAAUAUAGCUUUUUCAGUUAACUUGUUAGCCAAGUACAACUCUACUCCAACAAUUCGUCAUUGGAAGGGAGUCAAAGAUGUUCUACGAUACCUUCAUGGGACAACAUAUAUGGGCCUCUUUUACUCAGACAAGCCCAAAAAUGAACAGAUCCUUGUUAGAUACGCAUAUGCUGGUUUUCUCUUCUAUCCGCAUAAAGCCCGCUCACAAAAUGGAUAUGUGUUCACUAAUGGAGAUACUGCAAUUUCAUGGCGAUUAACAAAGCAAACGCUAGUUGCUACAUCUUCCAAUCACUCGGAAAUAAUUGCUUUACAUGAAGCAAGUCAUGAAUGUUCUUGGUUAAGAUCAAUGAUCCAUCACAUCCGGAAUUCAUGCGGUUUACCUUCAAAGACAGACACUCCAACUGUCAUCCAUGAAGAUAAUGUAGCCUGUGUUGCCCAGAUGAAGGAAGGAUUCAUCAAAGGUGAUAAGACUAAACACAUAUCUCUAAGAUUUUUUAAUGCACAUGAGCUUCAGAAGGGUAAAGUUAUUGAAGUCAGACAAAUCCGUUCCAAUGAAAAUUUAGCAGACUUGUUCACCAAAUCUCUGCCAAAGUGCACAUUUCAGAAGUUGGUGCAGGGAAUCGAAUUACGUCGGCUUACAAAUUUGAAGAAUGUGGAAUCAGGGGGAGCAUCCAUGAUACAUGCAUGUUGUACUCUUUUUCCUUUUAAUUAGGAUUUUUCCCACUAGGUUUUUCCUAUCAAGGUUUUAACGAGGCAACAUAAGCAUGCUCAACACCAUCCGGGUAAAGUUGUACUCUUUUUCCUUCGCUAGGGUUUUUUUCCCAUUGGGUUUUUUCAAGCAAGGUUUUAAUAAGGCAACUGAUGUUGAUAUGUGGGCAUCCAAGUGUGAGUGUUGUAAAAUAGUGGGUAUGUUUUCCCACAUGUAUAUAGUAACUCUUUCACAAGUUUAAUAGUGUCAUUUGUUUGUUUCCUAUGAGGUUGCUCUAUAAAUAGAGCACUACAUUUGAUCAAAUUAGACUUGGAAGAGAAAAACAUCUAAUAGCCAUAAUAUACAUUACUUCCUCUGCAACAACUUAUGUUGGUAUAAUAUUUUGCAAUUGCUUCGCUCCUAUCCCGAGUAAAUGUUAUCUCUCUAAAUUUUGCCUAUUUAUAACAAUUAUCUGUAUAUAAAGCCAACACAAAAGGUGAACAUGAACAAUUUUUUUGGUGUCACCAAGUUUCAACAAAAAUAUUCAGACAAAAAUGCCCCUAAGACAAAAAACUUCAAAGACAUCCUAAAAUAAUGCAUCAAAUAAAGCAGGGGUAUUUUUAUCAUUUUAACAAAUUUUUUUUAAUAGUUAAUUUUUUGUGUUGUUUUUUUUUAAUUAGUUAUGACAACUCAUCCCUAAUUUUAAGUUUUAAAUUAGUGAUUUUAUGAAAAUGCCCCUUGAGGCAAAGAUUUUGACUUUCGUUGACCAUCGGUUAGAGAGACGUAAGACUCAUUCUUUUAGCGUAUUUGUGUAGUACUCGACGAUACGAAUGCGUGGGCACAAAUGGAUUUGAAUUUGGAGCAAAAAUGGGGAUAUCACCGAAUUCGAAAGGUAAGGGUAUUAUGGUAAGUUCACAAAUGGAGAUAUUUCUCUACUUUGGACCAUUACAUGACUGACACAUGGCACCCCAUUUUUGGUGCCCUAUUUCUUUUCCCUCCCGUGUUCCUCUCCCCAUGUAUCCCUCCAUGUCUCCUUUAUUUUCCCCUCACUCUCUCAUCUUUCCUCCCUUACCUCUGUCAGCUCCCUCUCUCUGCAAGUUCAACCAACAUCAACCAUCACCCACUGCCUUCUUCGGUAAGCUUCACCAUACCACUCUUUAUCUCGGACACUAUUCUUCACUCUUAGGCUCUCCCUAUCGAGCUCUCUUGCUGCACUCACUUCACAGAGGUAGCGACUUAACCAGCGUGACCACCAUUACCAUUUCAUGGUGGAAAAAUGGUACAGCCACCAUGGCUCUUGCGGCGGACCACCAUCACUACCCUCAUGUGCCAUUUUUCACCGCAACUUCCCAUCGUACAUAACCAAGGUGAUUUUGGAGCCCCCCCAACUUCGAAUAUUUAUUAUUUUAAUCCCUUGGUGAUAUUUCUAAUCUUAAAUAGGAUGUUUGUGGGUGAUUUAAUGCAGAUCGCAGCUUGGGGAAGGAUUUUCCCCAUAUUUGUGGAAGGAAUGAACCGUGGCCUUUGAGCCACUUUCAGAUCAUUUUUUCGGCCGACUCCGACCAUGUUUUGACCUCAUGAUGGUACGAUACUAUUCUCCUCAUUAAGAGCUUCAAAUACAUAGGUAGAGCACUAAAAAUGGUUAGGUAGCGAGCUAGAAAUUAGCGGUGAAAUUUGGGAUGAAAUUUCCCAGAAUAUGAAAAACUUGGACCCGUGGCCAUUUGGCCACUUUCAGACCAUUUUCCCAGCAAACUCUGGCCACUAUUCGACUUCAAAUAGGUACAAACAUGUUCCCCACAUUUCUAGCUUCUAGUUGGCUUUUGAAUCAUUGAAUUUGGUUGAGAAUCGAGCUCGUAAUAAGCUCUAAAAGUUGAGGGAAAAAUCUGCAAAAAAAUCAUGGUGCCGGCACGUGCGGCGGCGCUAAGAAGAACCCGAGAUCCCUCCUUAGGUUCCUCGACGUGCCGGACCCGAAUUCGUCCUUCGUUUUCUGAAAUUUGAUCAUUUUAAAAUAGUAAUAGUCGUACUUUGUAUGAAAAAUGCGUUUAUACGUUAAUACAUUAACGUUAAAUGUUUCGUUUCUAGGCAAAACGCAUUGCAAGGACUCUCGAUGCCGCGAGGCGGGUUCAACUCGACGUCAUGUUCAGUGAGUGGGCAUUUUGUUUCCAUAUAUAUAUAUAUAUAUUGUAUAGUUUCCACAAAUGCUUUUAAAUUGGUUUAUGCAUUUUAUGCCAUAAUUUACUUAAUUUAAAAAAUAUUGUUGUGGUUGAGUUUUUUAUUGUCAUGGCAUUUCAUAUGCAUUUUUAGCUACUCAUGAAUAUUGUAUUGUUAUGAAAUGGUACGAGAUGCGCAUGUAAGUUUAGGUAAGCUCGUUAUGUUGAUUGGGAUUAUUGCAUCAUUAUGACAUGCUUAUAUUCAUAUAGUUCACUCAUCAUUGCUGCACCCCGGCUUUAGUGCUCCCGUCCCGGGCUAGGGCUAGCCUUCACGUGAUUGUUCACCUUCCGCACCACAUGCUGGCCUUGGAUCCAAGUUAGGUGCUAGCCUGUCGUACAUGUCGCAUUAGGCGACUUCGACUCGUAGGUGACUAUCGCAUAGCGCUAGCCUUCACGUGAUUGUAGCACUAGAGCGUAUAUUAUUACACCCAGCCCUAUCGUACAGGUCACAUUAGGUGACUCCGACUCGUGUGCUAACAUAGAUUGAUGAGCAAUAGGUGCAGUCGUACAGGUCCUAUUAGGUGACUCCGACUUGUGUGCUAAUAUAGAUUAUUGAGCACAUGAUUAUAUUCAUAUUGCUGUUGAAAUAUUCUGCUGUGGCAUAUUUCUAGAUUUAUUGUUGGCAUGUAUUUGAUUUCAUACUUAUAUGUAGUAUGAUUUUCGGGAAACUAUACUUGUUUUACAGCGAGGGGUUAGUAUGUUCAAAAAACAAAUCGAUUUUAUAAACCUUUAUUUUUGUGCCCACUCACUCUUCUGUUUUUCGUCCCUCCAGAUUCUAAUAGCAGAGCUUUUGUGUCGACGAUGAAUAAUAGAAAAUCUUGGUGCAAACGAAUACUUUCGAUGAUAUAAUUCUCACCCUAUUUUACUAUACUCAUAUUCUAACAUCCCGUGUGAAAUGAGUUCAUUCCUGCUCACCAGUGGACUCUUAUAUUUAGACACUUUUAGGUUUAAAUUAAUUUACAUUUUUCACAUCACUACACUUUAAGGUUUCGUCACCUUCCAGGUGUCGGCUAGAAUAGCUCGAUUUGGAAUCCUAGUGGACGUUCUAGGUUGAGAUGUGUCAUUAGUACCUUACAAUAGACUAGCAAUAAUGUGAUUUAAUUUCUCUAUUUUUAAACACGUUCAAAACAUCUUAAGAGGUGUGUAAUGUCGGUUAUAAAAAAAGUCUUUCGCAUGUUGAUAAUAAUGUGAUUAAAUUAGUUGUCAAAUGAUUGUUUUUUUUUUUUACUAAUGAUAUUAUCUACACUAAGGGGAGGAAGAUGAGCUUAGUGUCACAGUAGGUUAGCAAUAAUGUAAUUCAAUCAGUUGUUCAUUCAAUUUUAUUUUCUCUAUUUUUAAACACGUUCAAAAUAUCUUAAGAAACGUAUAAUGUCGGUUAUGAAAAAAGGUUAUUCGCACGCGGAUAAUAAUAUGAUUAAAUUAGUUGUCAAAUGAAUUUUUUUUUUUAACAAAUGAUAUUAUCCACACUAAGGGGAAGGUGGUGAGUUUAGCCUCACAAUGAGCUAGCAAUAAUGUGAUUCAAUUAAUUGUUCAUUAAAUAUUAUUUUCUCUAUUCUUAUUGUAAAUUCUUUAGAGACCGAUUUUAUUAUGUGAAUUCAGCUGUUUGAAUUAGUUUAUGAGGGGUUUCUUCUAGCAUGAUCUAAAAUAAUGCAUCAAAUAAGGUAGGGGUAUUUUAGUUAUUUUAAUAUUUUUUUUAAUAGUUAAUUUUUUGUGCUGUUUUUUUUAGUAUAUCACAAUAGGCUAGCAAUAAUGUGAUUCAAUUUUUCUAUUUUUAAACACGUUCAAAACAUCUUAAGAGGUGUGUAAUGCCAGUUAUAAAAAAAAAGUCUUUCGUAUGCUGAUAAUAAUGUGAUUAAAUUAGUUAUCAAAUUAUUGUUUUUUUUUAACUAAUGAUAUUAUCUACACUAACGGGGAGUGGGGGGGGGGGUGAGCUUAGCCUCAAAAUGGGCUAGUAAGAACGUGAUUCAAUCAGUUGUUCAUUCAAUUUUAUUUUCUCUAUUUUUAAACAUGUUCAAAACAUCUUAAGAAACAUGUAAUGUUGGUUAUAAAAAAUGUAUUUCGCCCGUGGAUAAUAAUGUGUUUAAAUUAAUUGUCAAAUGAUUGUUUUUUUUUUUAAUAACAAAAGAUAUUAUCUAUACUAAGAGGGAAUGAGUGGACAUAGCCUCACAAUGAGUUAGUAAUAAUGUGAUUUAAUCAAUUGUUCAUUAAAUAUCAUUUUUGUCACAGCCCGUCCCGGAAUUUUUAAUUCAGAAGACAUGAAAUUACGAAAAUGCCUCAAUACGUGACUAAGGUAUAAUUUUUACGUUCGUUAUAUCUAAGCUCCUAAAAUUUGGUAAGUAGAGUGGAGACUUAGACUUAAAUUUUAUGUUAGAAUUUCGUAGUUGGGGAUUGGGUAGGAUCCCACACCCCUCAAUUCUCUCCCUCUUUCCCGUACCCUGUCUCUCUCUCUCCUCCCUCACGAAACUCUCAGUUCUCUCUCCCUCUCCUUCGAACUCACACGGACAAGCUCCAAAACCACCCUAAACUUCUACCAACGACGGAGUUAAGACCACCAUCGAACUCCUGGAACCUCCACGAUCACGUAGACACCAUUUUCAGGUAAGUUUUGCUUCGGAAAACCCUAGUUUUUAAGGUCCCGUGUUUAUGUACUGUUCAUGAUCUUUUAAAUGGUUACGAUUUAGGCUAAAACAAGAUCACAGCGAGCUUAGUGAGGUCCCAAGGAAGCUCGGAGUGCUUCGUUGGAAGUUUUUGGACGUAAGAACACGGAGAUCGACAAGUUCAAAGUUUGGCCGGAGCUUUCGAGGCUUUUUCCGGAAAAUCCCCGGCGAGUUAGGAGUCGAGGUAGGUAUUAAUCUCUUCGUCUCGUCAAGUACUACAACUUUCCUUUUUGUUUCACUCAAUUUCGUUGAGUAUUGAAGAAGUUAUACUCAUUUGAAAAAUACCCAGUUUCCGGCAACCUCCGAGGCUUUCGAAGCAGUUUCCGGCCAAACCACGGCGAACUAGGUGUUGUGCAAGGUACCAUUCUCUUUGUCUCUUUAAGGGCUACAACUUUCGUUUUUGAAUCACUUAAUUUCGUUGAGAAAUGACAAAGUUAUGGCAAUUUGAAAAACGGCCGCCGGAAAAACCAGUCCGGCGACCCAAGGAAGAAGAAGGUGCGCGUGGGGGCGCGUAGGUCCGUGCCUUCCUUGGCGCGUGGGGGCGCGUGCUACAGUAAACAAUUAUUUUAAAAAUAUGUCGACGUCCGUGACGUCGAGUAGAUCACUGUGGUAUAUUCAUAUACCCAAAUUGAGCACCGUAUGAGAAAGUUAUUAAGGAUUGUUGGUUAGGUGUUCAAAUAACGUUUUAUAGUUUUUGCAUUUAGGUGAAAAUAUGAAUUGACGAUCCGACCGUUGGAUCGUUACCAAACUUUGAUACGUUGUAAUACGUAAUAUUUGAGGAUUAUUUGAACUUACGGAUUGGGAAUCCGAGUUACGGAUCUUCCGGAAUUGGAAUUGUAAGUUCAUAAAAUAAAAUGUUAACCGUCACUUAGUUUUGUUAAUUGACGGAGAUCCGACCGUUGGAUGGUGAUGAAAUUUUAGGAAGUUGUCCUAGAGGUAUAUUGUGGACCUCUGGAAGUUAUGGAUUUAAAAUCUGAGUGGUGGAUCUUCCGGAUCGAACUACGUAGUGACGUAUUUUAUAUAAGUUAUAUAUUCUAUCGAUAUGAAUUCUGAGGCUGGAUUUGAUUACUGUUCUAGGCGGCGAUCGUCAUGACGCCUUGAUGUGUGGUGUUAGGGAGUUGUUGGACGAACUCCAGGUGAGUGGGCAGUUUUGUUUUCCGUAUAUAUAUAUACUUGACGUUUUCCCAGAAAUUGAAAUUUAAUGAAAGUAUGCUUUAAAUGCAAUGUAUAAAAUUAUAUGAAAAGUAUAUUGAAAUGUGAAUUGAGAUGCCAUGCAUAAAAGUAUAUGAAAAGUAUAUAGAAAUGUGAAUCGAAUUGCCAUGCAUGAAAUUAUAUGAAAAGUAUGAAUUGAGAUAUGAUGCAUAUAUAUGAAAUGGUGCUGUGGACGCACAUGUGAGUAUCAGGUGAGUAUUAUUACUGUUAUGAUGAUGUUGAGAUAUGUUGAGCUCAUAACCUGCACCUUGGUAUUAGUGCUUAUUAUUAUUCACCGCAUCGCAUGCUCACCUUGGAUCCAAGUAGAUGCUAGUCGUACAGACCACCGGGGGUGGUUCCGACAUGCCAGUCGUACAGACCAUUAGAGGGGUUCCGACUGGUAGGUGACCUUAGAUUAUGUGCACAGAUGAUUGAUGAGAAAAGCACUAGAGCAUUUUAUUACACCAUUAAGUCGUACAGAUUACAUUAGGUAAUUCCGACUUAUGUGCAGUGUAGUGCCGUACAGGUCAUACUAGGUGACUCCGGCAUGGCCGUACAGGUCACAGUUUGUGACUCCGGUUAGAUGAGAUUUUGAGCUCUACAUUCAGCUGUACAGGACCAUUGUAGGGUCUCCGGUUGAUUAUUUUCUUGCACCUGAUAUGAUUAUUGUUGAUGCAUCCAUACUUAACUGUUGAAUUAGACAUGGCAUGACAUGAUUUGAUAAAGAAAAAUGUUGAGAUAGUAAAAAUGAAGUUUUGAGAAUAUAUAUGUAUAUGUAUAUUUAUAUUUUACAUUUAUGGGAAAGUAUACAAGUUUUACGGAGAGGGGUUACAACGUUUUGAGAAAUGUUUGGAUUUGGAAAAGAAUUGUUUUACUGACCCACUCAAUUUUGGUUUUGCGCCCCUCCAGGUUCAGGAAUCAUAAAGGUGUGGUGACUACGAGGAAUUCAGCGGGGUUCUGACAGAAUGUACCAAAUUAGGACGCACCUUCGGGUGUAUUAACUUUGAAGUUGUAUAAUUAAAGCUUCCGUACUGUGCAAAUGGUUACGUCAUUCUCACGUGACGGCCAGCAUGCCCUCCUUCGGGAUGGGGUGUGUCAAUUUUGUCUAUUCUUAUUGUAAAUUCUAUAGAGAUCGAUUUUAGUAUGUAAAUUCAGCUGCUUGAAUUGGUUUAUGAGGGGUUUAUUCUAGCAUGAUCUAACAUUAUUCAUUUACUUCAAAUAUUUGAUUUUUUAUUGUCAAUUUAUGCAUAUAAAUACAUUUAAAACGUGUAAAUCACGUGUAAUAUGUUAUAAAUUAAAAAUUAUCUUUUACACACGCGUGAACGAGUGCAUGAAGGUUAAUAUGAAUAAUUCAUGUUGACAGUAUGGACCCAUUCUUGCCUUUCGGUGCAUGGCAAGGUAUGGCACAAUGUCAAUGUGGUCGGCUCACAUACCAACGGGUGUGGCACACUGACCCAUACCACAUUAAACAAGAUUGAUAUAUAUUGGUAAUGGUGAGAUCGAUGACUUUUCGAACUUUUCUAUUUAGUUCGAAAAAUGGUAAACACAUAUUCUUCUGGAGAAACUAAAAAAGUUGUGUAAAAAUUAUUUUCUUUUAAUUUUACAACAUAUGUGAUUAAUCAUCUCUGUUAUUUUUUUUUUGUUAAGUAAUUCAAUUUGAUAACUAAAAAAAUAUGUUAAAAACUAAAAAUAGUGUGAACAUUACUUUUUUUUUAAAACCAAAAUCAUGCAUGGUAAAUUUGCAAUAUAUCACUAUUCAAUUUCAUACUUUGUACACUUAUUUGGAAAAUGAAUUUUUAAUGACCAAGAGUACUCUAGAAUUUUUCUUUAGUAAUCGAUAUUCUCAACACUAAAAAAGAGGAGACGAGCUUUGAUAAAAACGUUUAUAUUGUUAAAUAUUUAGAAGUGCUUUUGUAUUGAACUUCUUUCAUAAAGUACAUUAAGUAUAGGUACCGAUUGUUGACUCUUUAGCUUGAGUAUAAUCCUACUAAUCCUGAUGGGAAACAGGUUGAUUAACAACGUACACGUAAACGUCGAUUCUAGUUGUUAGUUGUUUUGAAUUGAAUUAUAAAAUUAUUGGAGGAGUUAUUGUGCUUGAUAGUUACAUCGCUAUAUGUUGUAUAUACCUGUAUUAAUACAAUAUAUCAUGAUUAUGACAUCUCAAUGAUAUCGUCCAUCCGUACUGUAUAUAACACAUAUUAAUAUGGAUAAUAUAUAAUUGCAUUCAAAUAAAGAUUAAAAACUUGAAUAAUUCCGGUUCUAAAAUUUAUAUAAUGAAUAUACCUUAUUUACAACAAGUGAGAUGUGUGUUCUUUCACAUAUGAAGACAAGUAUUAUCCUAUUAAUAACAAUUUAACACUAAUCUAUGUGUCACAUUGAAAAUUCCUAAUAAGCCGAAGAGAAAUGCUAGAGAGACUCUUUCAAAAGUAAGAUUUUUUAUAACCUUAUGUUUUUAGCACAAUUCUCAUGCCAACAUUAUGAAAUAUUAUUUAAAAAACAUGAGGUGACGAAAAGUCUAGAGAGGCCAACUUUGAGAGAGUCUCAGUAGAAAAAACCUUAUUAAUUAGGUGAAACAAGAAAAAACAAUGGACAAUUAAAAUAAAGAGUAAUGUUAGAAAUAUUAAAUUUAUAGAAAAAAUUUACAAAUUAAAUGAUGUGUCACUAAUAAGAAAUAAGCAUGUUUGUCAACGCUUAAGUAAUAAUCCAACCAUUAACUUUCAUGUCAUUUAGUUUACAAAUUUUAUCUACAAAUCUAGUCUCUUUAACAUUACACUAAAAUAAAUAUGACAAACAAUAUUCCCUUGUCUGUUUUUCUCUUUUUUUCUGUGUUGCAUGAAGAUUGGGUGUUCAUCAAUUUAUAACCAUUAAACAACACAUCUUUCAACGGGCUCUGCUUGUCGUUUCCACUGCAUGCAUGCAUCAUUCACAUCGAGUCUCGGUUAUCUUUCUGCAUGCGUUCAGGCCAUUCAAACAAGUAUUAAUUUUGUACACAGAAAAUUACAACGUCCCACUCCUAUUUCCCCCUAUAUAAACUCCACAUCUCACCGACUCACUCAGCAUCUAGUAAAAGCACCACCAAAUUAUUAAACCAUCCUUUGACUUUUGUACGCAAAAGCUAUGGCUAGCCCUAAGGUGGUUUGUGUUUUCUUAAUGUGCAUAGUGCUGGCCGCACCCUUGAUCACUGGAGCAGCACUCACAUGUGGCCAGAUUAAAGUCGGUCUUGCGCCUUGCCUGGCCUACCUCCAGAAUGGUGGCUCCCCCACUCCAGGCUGCUGCAGGGGCAUCAAAGGCCUGGUCAGCUCAGCCACCACAGCUGAUCGACAGAAUGCUUGCAACUGCUUGAAAACAGUUGCUGCCCAAAUCAAAACUAUUAAACAAGCCAACGCGGCUAAACUCCCUUCCUUAUGUGGCGCCAACAUUCCCUACAAGAUCAGCACCUCUACUAACUGCGCCAGGUAAAUUUUUCCAUCAAAUGAUGUGCUAAUUACUUUUCGCUAUUUAAAACAAGCGCACAAAUUUGAUAAUCCUAGCAUAUUUUAUUUUGUAAUACACUAAGCCUUUAAAUAUAAAUCUGUUUUUUAUCCCCUUGUUUUGGUUACUAAAAGUAAUUUUUUCGUUAUUUGCAGUGUGAAGUGAAGAUCAGGUCGAUCUGGAUGAGCAUCUAGCUAGAUAAUAGAAUAUGAUAGUAGUAGGUAGCUAGUCUACCUUAAGAAUAAGGGAUGAGUAUUGAGUUGUUUUGAGCUCUUUCACCUUUAUUGCAUGUCACCGAUAUCAGUUAGUUGUCGUUGUAUGUGAUAAUGACUCUGACCAUCUUUAACAAGGCAUCUAUAUAUUCUACUUAAAUAUUUGAUUUAAUCUCAUUAGUCUUCUUUUAAUUAAUUUCCCCCCACCCCUCCCCCAGGCCCCCUCCAGGGAUAAACUUUAAUCUCGUUUCAAGACUCAGUUCCCAUACUAAUGAUGUAUGUAGGGGUGGAAAAAAAAUACCAAAUAUCCCAAAUCAAACCGAAAAAUUCUCGAAACCAAACCGAAAAAAAUACCAAACCAAAAAUCACAAAAUGUUCGGUACCCAAUACCAAACCAACUGAAAAUUUCGGUACGGGAAUCGGUUUCAAGUUUUAGUUUUUUUGAUAUUCCCAAACCGAACCGAAAUAAAAAAAAAAUAUUUAAUUUUUAAAUAUAUAUUUAGAAUUAUAACAGCCGUCGGAUUCGGUUGAGAUUUAAUCUCAACUAUUGAAUCUAUCAAACCCUAGUACAUUACACUAUGUCUUCGUCUCUCUCGACACUCACCUCACACUGCACCCACUCUCUGUCACUUUCACCGCUUGCCUCACUCGUCAGACUCAAACCCUCACCUCACCACCCUCGUCGUCGAAUCACGGCCAUUGGCACCGCUCUCCUUCUCAAUCUCUCAGUCUUUCAGUCUCUCUCGAUUCAAGUCAUCCAGUGCAUUGUGCAAAUCUCCUCCAAAUCAGGUAAAUGUUUGAAUUAAUUUAAGGUUGUCUCUUCGUUUUUGAAUCCGACCACACAAGUGACUCACCUAGGGGUGGGCACUUGAACCCGAAACUGAAAUCGAAACACGAACCAAAUCGAACCGCACCGAAUGGUUUGGUUUUGAGGUUUCAAAAUGGUUUCGAUUUGAAACCAAACUGAAUGUGGAAAAACAAUUUGAUUUCGGUUUCGGCCAUUUGAAACCGAACUGAAACCGAAGCCGCAUAAAUUUAUUAAAUAUUAAAUUCUAAUUGGUCAUUUCAUUGAGUCCAUACAUUUAGUAUGGACUCAACCAUAUUCAUGCCUCAAUCCAGUUCAAUUGAAUGUCACUUAGUCAUUAGAUGUUUACCUUGUUUUUAUUUGUCCUAUAUUUUGUAUAGAGACACCCGGUGCUCUGGUGGAUUUGUUGUGUGUGUAUAGAUGUCAAUUGCUAAACGUACGACCUCAAACUCUCUGUACGCUAUGAAAUUAGAAGAGGAAAAUGAUUCCCUUGACACUAUCAUCAGACAAGCUGCAGAAGAGCCAUCUAUUUCUUUCUCAAGGGCCGGGAUAGCCCAGUCUCCUGGAUUCAACUACUUCAUGCCUUAGACCAACAAGGUACUAGAAGACAUGCAAAAUGAAAAACAAAUAGUAAAUGUUGCUCAUAGAAGAAAAUUGAAGUGUAUAUAAAAGGAAAAUGAAAUGAGAUACAACUAGGUAACCAUAAUAGCUUUUUCAAACAAUGAAACCGCACCAAAACCGUUUAAAACCAAACUGAACCAAACCAAAUGGUUUGGUUUCAUUUCGGUUUUAGCCUCAAAACCACACCGAACCAAACCGCAAAAACUUACUGUUUUGGUUUUGGUUUCACUUAAAACUGCACCAAACCAAACCGCACCUACCCCUAGACUCACUUGAGUCACAUCUCUCUAGACAAUCACCACCUCUCUGAUCGCUCUUUCAGUCUCUCUCAACUUCUCAUCCCUCACAGAGCCACAUUGGAUGAGCCUUCCUUCACGAAUCAUGGCCAGUGCCGCUAUCAUUCUCAGUCUCUCUUAAUUCAAGUCUCCAGUGCAAAUCUCCCCCAAAUCAGGUAAAUGUUUGAAUUAAUUUAGGGUUGGAAUUCAAGAUUAGGGUUUGUGAAAUUUAGCACUUGGAAGAUUGAGUAUACUGAAUACUGAGGGUUUAGGGGUUGAAUUGGUGGUUGGAAUUCGAGAUUAGGGUUUCGAGAUGUUUGUAAUGCAGCACCAUAAAUGUAUUUGCAGUUUGUUUAGUGGAUCUUUUAUAUAUGAAGAUGUUGAACUGAUGAACUUUCAAAUACCCACAUAAUUUCUUAAUGUUUCUUUUAUAUAUGAAGAUGAUGAACUGAUGAAGAUAUUGAACUGAUGAACUGUUAAUACUUAGGCAAUCCCGUAUUGUCCCAAAAGCCUAAUAAUAUUUCGGAAAUCCUGAAUUGUCCUGAAAUCUGGAAAAUAUUUCAGGAUUCCCAAAAAUUUGGUUUGGGAUCGGUCUUGAAAUUGGGAUUCCCGAAAAUUUCAGUUUGGGAAUCGGGACAAGGGUUUCAGUUCGGUAUCCCAUACCAAACCAGCCCUAUAUGUACAUGACAAAUUAUUUCCCGACGCAAAAGAAGAAAAAAAACGAAGAGUAAAAUUGAAGAAAUUUAGGAUUCCACCAUAUAACCAAUUAGCAAUAUGGGGAGUAGUCCAACUUCUUAUAAGCCUAUGCAAGGUCCAUCCUCCCAUCAAUGUGAGACUCAUUCUCAACACACCCUUUCACGUGUGGCGAAUUUUCAAGCCUAAUAAGUGGACAAUACAACGGGAUGACGUGGAGCACAUGUGGUCGUUUGACUUCACACAUGGGACAACCUGUUUUUGAUACCAUGAAGAAAUUUGGGGUUUCAGCAUAAAACCAAUUGGCAAUAUGGGGAGUAGCCCAAUCUCUUAUAAGCCCAUGCAAUGUCUCUCAUUCCAUCAAUGUGGGACUCAUUCUCAACAUGCCCCUUCACGUGUGGCGAAUUUUUGAACCUAACAUGUGGACAACACAACGGGAUGACGUGGAGCACAUAUGGUUGUUUCGCUUCAUACGUGGGACAACUUGCUCUGAUACCAUGAAGAAAAUUGGGGUUCCACCCAGUGGCGAAGCCAAGAUUUUCCAAAUGGAGGGGUGAAAUUCAAAAGAGUACAAGAUUCAAUCGAAGCGGUUACUUUAACAUUGGAGAGUGCAAAGUUUUGAGUCAAUAUUCAUAACAGAAAACAGUCUCUUCACCAAAGCGGUUGUAAGCGGUAAUAUCAAAGCCAUGUACGAAUAUUAAAUAAGUUUGUUGAUGCACAAAACCGGAGGUCUUAGAACAACGUAAAUCCGACCGUGAAUCUGCAAGAAAUGUAAAUAACACAAGAUGUAUUGUGGUUCACCCCAAGGUUUGGGCUACGUCCACACUGAUUAUGUAUUUAUCUGAGAUGUGAGGAAAGUGAGGGAGAGAGAUUCAGAGCCUCUGAGGGAGAGAGUAAGGUCUUUGAUGGCCUAGGAAUUGGCCUUCUCUAGUUGUGAGGGUGAUGGGUCAUUUUAUAGAAUAAGGAAUCCUCACUUAUUACAUAUUUGCCCAUUCCUUUAUCACAUAAUUACAUUUAAGUCCCCCGAGUAUUUGUACGAGAUCUAAAUACGAGGUCCUAAAUAUGGUAUAAACAGUAGUCCCCUAAGUUUUUAGUCAAGACAGUCUUUUGGCUGGAGACUUGAAAUCCAUGUGUGGGCCGAAGUAACUAGGUGUUGUCUUGAACUGAUGUUCGAUAUGAGGCGGUGCUCAAUCUGAAAUGAUGCUCAACUAGAAGUAACACAUGCUGCGAGGCUGCUCGGCUCGUGGGUUAUGUUGCCUUGGUUGGCUCGGCUUAUGGCGUUGAAGGUGAGGGAGUCAUUUUUAUAGAAUAAGGGCUUGCUCCUCAAUACAUGAAUGAUGGGCUAGAGUUGAUGCUCUCUAAUGAUGGUGAGGGAGUCCAUUUUAUAAAAUAAAGGAUCGCUCCUCAGUACAUGAAUAAUGGGUUAUGAGUGAUGCUUGUGGCGAGACGGUUGCUCAGCUGGCGGUGAUGCUCUCUAACGAAGGUGAGGGAGUCCCUUUUAUAGAAUAAGGGCUCGCUCCUCAAUACAUAAAUGAUGGGCUAGAGUUGAUGCUCUCUAAUGAUGGUGAGGGAGUCCUUUUUAUAAAAUAAGGGCUCGCUCCUCAGUACAUGAAUAAUGGGUUAGGAGUGAUGCUCGUGGCGAUGCGGUUGCUCAGCUAGCGGCGAUGCUCUCUAACGAAGGUGAGGGAGUCCCUUUUAUAGAAUAAAGGCUCGCUCCUCAAUACAUAAAUGAUGGGUUAGAGUUGAUGCUCUCUAAUGAUGGUGAGGGAGUCCCUUUUAUAGAAUAAGGGCUCGCUCCUUAAUAUAUGAAUGAUGGGCUAGAGUCCCCCAAGUAUUUUUCAUGAGGCCCAGUUGAGGCCCAAUAUAUGGUACAUAAUGUAGUCCCUAAAGUCUUCGGUCAAUGGAGUUUGUUGGCUGGAGACUUCAAAUUGAAUCCAUGUAUGGGCCGAAGUGGCGGUUGUUCGGAGGCAGUAUUUGUAUACCCUGCACUGAAGCUUUGUAAGUGAAGCUUUGAAGCUGGAGCUCUGUAAAUGAAGCUUUUGAAGCUAGAGCUUUUGUAAAUGAAGCUUUUGAAGUUGUAGCUCUGUAAAUGAAGCUUUCGAAGCUAGAGCUUUUGUAAAUGAAGCUUUUGAAGCUGAUUGACAUGAGUGAUGCUCAUGAAUGUUUGAUUGACAUGAGUGAUGCUUAUGAAUGUUUGAUUGACAUGAGUGAUGCUCAUGGAUGUUGACAUGAGUGAUGCUCAUGAAUGUUUAUGUAUGAUUGAUAUGAGUGAUGCUCAUGAAUGUUUAUGUAUGAUUGACAUGAGUAAUGCUCAUGUAUAAUAUGAAGUACUGGGCGUACUUUUGAUCACCUGGUUGGUGGUAAUAGUGGCAGGUUGCCAAAUAAUUUUUGGAGUACUGGGCGUACUUUUGAUCACCUGAUUGGUGGUAAUAGCGGCAGGUUGCCGAAUAAUUGUGGAGUACUGGGCGUACUUUUGAUCACCUGGUUGGUGGUAAUAGCGGCAGGUUGCCGAAUAAUUAUGGAGUACUGGGCGUUUUGAUCACCUGGUUGGUGGUAAUAGUGGCAGGUUGUCGAAUAAUUGUGGAGUACUGGGCGUACUUUUGAUCGCUUAGUUGGAGCUAUUUGGGCUCAUGGGCCUUCGCCCUUCAUAUAACAUUCCAGCCCAUUUAUUUUGGGCUUUGCCGUUUUUUAAUUUUUUUAAUUUUUUAUUAUUAUUACCCACUGAUGGGGUUUAUACAGAUGUCUCCGAAAGAUACGAAAAUUAAAUUACAUCAUUCAAAAAUAAAGGAAGUAAACCACAUCAUUCUCGUGGGGUGUUUAUUCCUUGCUUUUGCUUUUAUGCUUUUCUUUUGCUUUUCCCACUACAUUUCUUUCUCUUUUUCUCUUUUCCUUUUGCUUUCCACUGCAUCUCUGUCUCUGUCUCUUGGCGAAACUGGAGGGCUAACUCCCCUUGCUUUUCUUGGACAGCCUGGUCGUGCCCAUCACUCUUCUUUUUUCUUUUUCUUUUUUUUUCUUUUCGUUUUUUGCUUUUCUGUUGUCCCCCAUGUGCUUCUGUUGGGCAUUUUUCAUCGCAGUCUGAUCUCACCACCGACAGACUUGAGGUUCCUCGAAGGCCUCAAGUUGAAGGAACAAGUUCUGAAACACGAAAUUACCGAUUUGUAUAACAACAAUCACUCUGCAGCAGCAGCAACAGCGCCUAUAGCUUCCACAACUCAGCUCUGAACUUGUUGUCUUAGUCAAGAAACCCACCCUGCUCCAAGUUCAAAAUUGACGGCAUACCCAGUUGAGAUUAUGAUCUUGAAAGCUAUAAGCAAGCAUGAGGGUUGAAAUUGAUAAGACAGACUCAGUGGGAUUGAUUGAUGAAUCUCUCUCUCUCUCCCUCUCUCUUCUGCCACAUCUUGAACAAGAAGACAUCUUUUCAUCAUUUAACACAUUUCUCUCCCAUGCUUCAAUUUCAACUUCAACUCCAAACUCAAGCUGCUCAAUGAGGAUAGUCAUUCUGAAUCGAAAUCGAAGCAGGAAAUCCAAAGAAAACAGAUGAAAGUAUUGAACCCAAAAAUUUGAUAAGAGAUUUGGGCAAAGAAAUUGAAGUUUUGUGGCUUGGGCAGCUGGGAAAGUUGCGGCUUGGGAUCCGAGUUCAUGCCGAUGAUGAUGACCAGAGGAAUGAAGCCGUAGUGGGUGACGACCUUGGCCUUCUUCAUGGUCCACGUGCUCCACUCCUUCACGGACUGAGCCACCGAGCGCUCAUCCGAGCCUUUGGAGCCCUUCGCCGGAGUCUUACCCUUGGUUUUCAGAGAUAUCUUCGACGCCAUUGAAAUUUUCUUCUGGAGUUAUUGCUGUUAUUGUUACCAUUGUCUUUAUAGUUAUGACUGUUAGGAACAAUUGCUCUUAACAAUAGCCUUCUGUGCACCUAAGGAAAAAACUGCAUCUCUAACCUUAGCAUAAAAUUCGAGCUUCUUUUCGAACUUACGGUCGGCUUUGGUCGACGAUUCUGAUCGUGAACCUGGCUUCCCCAAUCAUUGAAACUUUCGAGCUUUGGCAGAGAGAGAAAACGAAGAAGAAGAAGAGAGAGGGAGGCCAGACACGUGGUCUGUGCAGUUACAGAGAGAGAUUGAGUCAUAGAGGAGGUGGCUCCGUGGGUUUUCUGGGAAAUUUUUGGGUUCUUGGGUUUUUGCAGUUUCAAGGUGGAGAUGAAAAAAUGAAAGAGAACUGACACAACUUUUCGUAUUGAUUCCCACAGACGGCGCCAAAUGUUGAUGCACAAAACCGGAGGUAUUGGAACAACGUAAAUCCAACCGUGAAUCUGCAAGAAAUGUAAAUAACACAAGAUGUAUCGUGGUUCACCCCAAGGUUUGGGCUACGUCCACACUGAUUAUGUAUUUAUCUGAGAUGUGAGGGGAGUGAGGGAAAGAGAUUCAUAGCCUCUGAGGGAGAGAGUGAAGUCUCUGAUGGCCUAGGAAUUGGACUUCUCUAAUUGUGAGGGUGAGGGGUCCUUUUAUAGAAUAAGGACUCCUCACUUAUUACAUAUUUGCCCCUUUCUUUAUCACAUAAUUACAUUUAAGUCCCCUGAGUAUUUGUACGAGAUCUAAAUACGAGGCCCUAAAUAUGGUAUAAACAAGGUUAGAAUUAGAUUCUUAAAAACGUUAGGCGCUAGUCAGGCAGAGGACUAGGGCCUAGCAGCUAGGCGCCUAGGCGAGAUUUAGGUAGGAGCCUAGAUGGAUUUAAAUGAAUUUCUUUUAUCGUAAAAUAAGCAUUAAACAAUAUUUACUUUAUUUUUUAAAAAUUAAUACAAUAUUGAUAUAUAAUGUGAGAGUUUAAGAUAAAUAUGCGGGGGGUUUUAAAAAGAGGCAAAAAAAAUACAUACAAGAAUAAUAAACUAAAAAAAAAAAAGAAGAGAGAAAUGGGUUAACAAACCACAAAAAAAGGUGGGGUUAGAAGAGAAAGAAAAGAGGGAUAAUACUUAAAUCCUGACCUGUCAGGAUCUAGUAUAUUGAACUUAUUAUGUGGCACAAUACACCUACCCUUGUAAAUUCCCAAACACAUAACCUUGCAUUAUCUAUUUUAAUAUCCAAACAUACCCUAUUAUACUAACCAAACAUCAUUCUUCUCUCUAAUUGGAGAUUCCCCAAGCUUCUAGAUUCAAACCAGCAAUCAUCUCCGUUAACCAACCCUGUUUCCUCCUCCGUCAAACCCCCGCAUGUUCUCCACCAUUGAUCGAACCCCGUGUCUUCCUCUAACUUCUCUCUUCCGUCGACUCCACCACCGUCUCCUUCUCCAACCCCUUUCCUCCGUCAACACCGUUAUCCCACCCAUAUACUAGUCUUCCAUCCCAUUAUCCCAAGUCACCAUCAUCUGCCACCCCCUGCGAGAUUGCCCUGAUGAAAUCAAGAAGGACUUCAAAUUGGGGUUUCUCAGUUCGGAAUGUGAUGUCGGCUUAUCGAGUGAGCUUGAAGCUUGCACAUGAUGCUAAAGCCGAUGAGGCAACAGGGUGGGGUUAAUGAUGGUUGAAGUAGGAUAGGACUUCUCAUUUUCGACGAGAGUGGAGAGGCUGAACUAGUGCUCCUAGGCAUGUUUUUCAGCGAAGGGAGGGGCGGCUGCCACUCCUCACCCUCAUGUAGCUGUUAAUCAUAUUGCAGAGCUUCAAUUGAGAUAUAUGCAGAGAAGAAUUGAGAGAUACAGAGAAGAGUUGAGAGAGAAGAGAGAGAGAGAAAGCUUGGAAAAUAAGCUACUGAAUCUUGUAUUAAAUUUUCUGUAAUUACAACAGUACACGAUCUUACAUUAUAUAUUGUAAGAUCUUAGCCUAAUAGCCUUAUAUACUUUAUUACAAUCUUAUCUUAUACACUUCAUUAUAAUGACAAAUGGCAUAAUCCUCUUCAUUCAUUAUUUAUACUCUAACAUCCCCCCUUCAAUCCCAUGUUUGGAUGAGCCAAGCAUGAGAUUGCAGCAAUGAGUGUUAAACAAAGGAGAACUCAAGCCUUUUGUUAGGAUAUCAGCAAAUUGCUCAGAAGAGGAGACAAACUGAACAAGCAAUUUCUUAGCAGCAACUCUUUCUCGAACAAAAUGAACAUCCACUUUAAUGUGUUUAGUUCGUUGGUGCUGAAUUGGAUUGAAAGAUAAGGCAAUUGCUGAUAGAUUAUCACAAAAGAGUACUGGAAUAUGUUGAGGCGGAAUAUGUAGGAAAGUGAGCAACUGUUGGAUCCAAUCCAAUUCUAUAGCAGUAGAUGAAAGGGCUCUAUAUUCAGCCUCCGUUGAAGAACGUGACACAGUUUGUUGUUUCUUAGAGGACCAAGAAAUUGGAUUAUUUCCUAGGAAUACAACCAAACCAGUAGUGGACCUUCGAUCAUUUGGACCACUUGCCUAGUCAGCAUCACUGAAAGACUUUAAAACCAAUUCUCCUCUGUUGUAAGUAAUUCCAUGAGAAAUCGAGCCUUUGAGAUAUCGUAAAACCUUCUUCACUGCUAUAAAAUGAGAGACCAUUGGAGUUUGCAUAAAUUGGCAAACUUGAUGAACAGAAAAGGCAAUGUAAAGUCUUGUAAACACAAGGUACUACAAAGCUCCAACAAUGCUCCUGUAUAAGCCAAGAUUAUUGUAAGGUUGCCCGUCAUCCUUAAAAAGUUGAUUGUAAGGAAGACAAGGUGUUGAAGCAUGUUUAGAGUCUAACAUUUCUGCAUUCUUUAAAAGGUCUUGUAUAUAUUUUUCUUGAGAUAAGAACAUUCCAUCAUUUGUUCUUGCAAUUUGAAUUCCCAAGAAAAAAUGUAAUGGACCAAGAUCCUUAAUGUCAAAUUCUAUUCUCAAGUCUUAAAUUACUUGUUAAAUUGCAUCUGUAUCACUCUCAGUGAUGAUAAUAUCAUCAACAUACAGUAACAACACAACAACAUGUACUUCCAACAUGCUUCACAAAUAGAGAACUAUUAGAAUAUGUGUUGCUGCAUAAACCUGUCAUUCCAAGCUCUGGGAGCUUGUUUUAAACCAUAAAGUGAUUUUUGUAACUUGCAUACCAAUGAAGGAAAUCAAUCAUUUGCAAAACUUGGUGGUUAGGACAUGUACACCUCUUCAUGUAGUAUGCAAUGUAAGAAUGCAUUCUUGACAUCCAGCUGCCUCAAUGGCCAAUUAAACUGUGCUGCAAGUGCCAGAAUUAACCUCACCGUUGUUAGUUUUACUAUAGGGCUGAAUUUCUCUUCAUAAUCAAGUCCUUGCUCCUGACUAAACCCCUUUGCUACUAACCUAGCCUUGUGCCUUGCAAUUGUCCCAUCAGCAUUCCAUUUAAUCUUGAAAAUCCACUUACAACCCACUAAAUUCUUCUAAUAUGGUAAAGGAACUAGAGUCUAAGUUUUCUGAGAAUAAAGAGCCUCAAGUUCUUCCUUCAUAGCUUCAAACCAUAUUGGAAUCUUCAUAGCAGACUUAUAAGAUGAAGGCUCAAUCUGCGUUAAAAUUAGCCACUUGAUCAUUAUGAACUGAAGCACACAAAAAUUUCUUCUUAAAGAUACCAUUCUUGGAUUUGGUUUGCAUAGGAUGAAUGCUCAUAGGUGGUAAACUGAGAACCACUUGUAAACUUUCAGGACAAAAAUCAGAUUACACAGUCAUAAAAGAAUUUGGUGCAAUAAUGGACUGUGAGGUACUGGAUAUGGGUGAAUCAUGUAAGGUUUGUGGUGGUGAUGUUGAGGAUGAAACAUGUGUGGGAGAAUUUAUAGUAUUAGGAGAUACCAAAAUGUUCUGAAGGUUAGGAAUCAAAGAAAGGCUAAGUGUAGGAAUACUGGACUUAGGCUGAGACUUAGUGCAAAACGAGGCAUAUGGAAAGUCUAAUUCAUCAAAUAUCAUAUGUCUGGAUAUAAAGACAUUGUUAUUAUUUAACUCGUAACAUAUGUAUCCCUUAUAGUUAGAUGCAUACCCCAAAAAUACACACUUCAAAAUCUUAGGUUGUAGUUUGGUGGUAUUAUAAGGCUUUAACAAUGGGAAACGAGCAGAUCCAAACACUCUAAGGUGCUGAAUAUCAGGAAUUUUGCAAUACAAACUUUCAAAAGGUGAUUUGUUUUGAAUGAUAGAAGAUGGCAUCCUAUUUAUUAGGUAAAUGGUAGUUUGACAUACAUAGGUCCAAAACUUAGAAGGUAAGUUGGCAUUUUGAAGCAAUGUAAUGGCAGUUUCCACAAGAUGUUUAUGUUUUCUCUCAGCUAAACUAUUCUGUUCAGGUGUAUAUGGGCAUGAUUUUUGAUGUAAAAUGUCAUUUGCAGUAAAAAAAAUUUGCAAGGGUUUGCCUAUGUAUUCUCCCCCUCCAUCACUUUGCAAGAUUUUAAUUCUAGUUGAGAACUGAGUAAGAACAAAUUGGUAAAAUGAUGCAAAGACAGAAGAAAUACCUAAUUUAUUAAGCAAUCGAAACAUCCAGCAAAAUCUGGUACAUUCCUCUACAAAGAUGACAUAGUAUCUAAAGCCAUCAACGGAAAUACAUGGUGUAGGUCCCCACAAAUCACUGUGAAUAAUCUCAAAAAGGGUUACUGACUUAUUAACAGCUGGACUAAAGGAAAGUUUGGCAAAUUUGCCUUCUAGACAACUCUGACAUACUACAGGGGAUACAUCUUUAACAACAGGUAUUUUAGACUUAUUCAAUAUAAGAGAUACAAUUGAGUUUGAAGGAUGACCUAACCGGCUAUGCCAUAGGGUAGAGGUAGUAGUUUUCCUAAGACAAGAAAUAGCCGAAGAUGUUGUUGGUAUUGAUGAAGAAGGAAUAGCAGCAAUUGAAGGGAUAUGGUAAAGUCCAUUAUUGCAGUGGCCUUUAAACAAGAUUUCCAUGUAACUUUGUCCUGAAUCCAAAAAUAAUAUGCAUCAAAGAUUAGCCAGCAGUUGUUGUCCAAACAAAUUUUAUGUAUUGAUAACAAAUUAUGAGAUAAUUUGGGAACAUAUAGAAUAGAAUGUAAAUUGAUGGACUAAUGAGGAGUUCUAAGAACAGUGUUCCUAAUAUGAGUGAUUGGCAAACCUUCACCAUUAGCUGUUUAGACAGUAUCAUGCUGUGGAUAAGGAGUAGCCAAAGAAAAAUUAUUAAGAUCAUGUGUCAUAUGGUUUGUUGCUUCGAAAUCAGUCAACCAAACUUGUUAAUGAACUUGAUUAAAUGUGGAAGCAGUCAUAGAUGCCAAUCCAUAUUAUUUGUACCAUAUUUAGGGCAUCCGUAUUUAGACAUCGUAUAAAUACUUGGGGGACUCAAAUGUAAUUAUGUAAUAAAUCAAGGGGCAAAUAUGUAAUAAGUGAGGAGCCCUUAUUUUAUAAAAGGACUCCUCACUCUCCUCAUUAAGGGAGAUGAAGGUUUAGGCCAUGGGAAGAGAGAAAAUAGGCUAGAGAGCACACUGCCUCUAGCCUUCUUGUAUAUUCACCAUUCAGAGUGAAACAAUAUGAACAUCAGUGUGGACGUAGCCCAAACAUUGGGGUGAACCAUGAUACAUCUUGUGUUCUUUACUUUCUUACAGAUUCACGGUCGAAUUUACGUUGUUCCAAGACCCAUCCGGUUUUGUGCAUCAACAUUUGGCGCCAUCUGUGGGAAAUCGACACGAAAAACUAUGUCGAUUCUCUUUCAUUUUUUUCUUCUCACCAUCGUGAAUCUGCACAACCCAAGAACCCAAAACCUCAUUCUUUGGGGUUUUCCAGAAAACCUUCGCAUACCUCCAACCAACUCUCUCACUCUCUCCCGCCCGUUAUUGACAGCACUGUGAAGAACGAGGUGAACCCUGGGUCGAGGGAGGAAGACGACGAGCUCAAAGACGGAGUGAUCGUCGGUGACCACGAUUCCGUGUUGGUGAAGCCGCCAAAAGGAAUAGCGCUGCAGUCGCAUUCCUGGACCUUCUGGUUCGAUUACCCGGCCGCCAAGUUCAAGAAGGAGAAUUUUGUGAAAUUUUUAAUAACCCUCCAACUUCCAACCGUUAACCUCCCCAAUCUCGAAACGGUGUCAUCUACAGAUCUUAGAGGAAAACCUCAGUCGCUUUGUUAAUCUGGAUCUAAUCCUGUGUUAGUUUCCUAAUCAAGCUUUCGAAAAAGGGAUUGAGAUUCCUGAAACGACUCAGAUUCUAAGCACAUAUUAUAUAUAUAUAUAUAUAUAUUUUUUUUUCUAUAUAAUUAUUAUUAUAUAUUUGCAAAUUAUCUGCAUCCAAUCCGAUUCCAUUUCUGAAUAAUGUUGGCGAGCACUGGCAGUUCCGUCGUUCAGCUUCGAACCAAAUCGUCACUUUUGCCGUCGCAGCUCAUUGCGACGUCGGUAGCUCAGCUUGGCGGGAGCAGGGCGGCGAUGACAGUAGGAUAAAAGUCAAGGGGGCGAAGCAGCCGUCAUCUCUGAUUUCUUCCUUCCAUUUUUUUUAUUGCUUUUGCUUCAGCUCCUCAUUCUGCUUCAACAGCAGGAUAAAAGUCAAGGUGAUCUCCUUGCCAGCGGUCGGAAUGAUAAAAAGGCGGAGGAGGACGACGAUGGUGUGUCGUCAUUGUCAUCGUCCGAAGUGGACGAGCUGGGUUUUCUUCGACGACUGCCUAUUUCGAUUCGCCUGAUGUUGAGCUCUAUGGAGAUCUCUUAUCCCUUUACAGUAAAAAUGAGGCAACAACAGAUUCAACACUGCCAAGAUACUCAGUCACCCUGACGUUGUGGUGUCUGACACGGUUGUGGAGCCAUACAAUGCCACCAUUUCCGUCCAUCAGCUUGUCGAAAAAGCAGAAAGUAAAAGCUCAAAUUCCCUUCAAUUGUGCAGAUGGGCUCUGAAAGUUACAGGAAAUGGAGUGCGAAACAAAAGCAAAAGAAGAUAAAAAGAAGUAGACAUAAUUGCGGUGGUGAUGGCAUUAUGAGCGUGACCCAUUGAGUAGGCCCUGCCCCCCGCAACUACCAGCUGCACAUGCUAUCUCACUAUCCAACCAUCUGCCAUACCCACCUUCUACAACAACUUUUUUGAAUGAUGUGAUUUAUUUUUCUUAUCUUUUGCAAACAUCUGUAUAAACCCACCAGAGGGUAAUCAUAAAUAAAGAAAAAGGCAGCAUGCCAAAAAAAAAAAAGGCAAGCCCAAAAUAGUGGGCUGGAAUGUUAUGUGGAGGGCGAAGGCCCAUAUGCCCAAAAGAGCCAGACCCAAUGACUUUAAACUCCAACCUCCAUCCAUCCACUUAAGGUUCACCCUAUAUUAUCACCAACCAGGUGAUCAAAAGUAUGUCCAGUACUCUAAAAUUAAUCGGCAACCUGCCGCUAUUAUCACCAACCAGGUGAUCAAAAGUACGUCCGGUACUCCAAAAUUAUACAUGAGCAUCACUUAUGUCAAUCAUACAUAAACAUACAUGAGUAUCACUCAUGUCAAUCAUACAUAAACAUUCAUGAGCAUCACUCAUGUCAACAUUCAUGAACAUCACUCAUGUCAACAUCCAUGAGCAUCACUCAUGUCAAUCAACAUAAACAUUCAUGAGCAUCACUCAUGUCAAUCAGCUUCGAAAGCUUCAUUUACAGAGCUCCAGCUUCAAAAACUUCAUUUACAAAAGCUCCAGCUGAACAACCGCCACUUCGGCCCAUACAUGGAUUGAAUUUGAAGUCUCUAGCCAACAAACUCUAUUGAUUGAAGACUUGAGGGACUACACUAUGUACCAUAUAUUGGGCUUCCGUAACUGGGCCUCAUGAAAAAUACUUGGGGGACUUAGCCCAUUAUUUAUGUACUGAGGAGCGAACCCUUAUUCUAUAAAAGGGACUCCCUCACUUUCAUUAGAGAGCACCCAUUAUUCAUGUAUUGAGGAGCGAACCCUUAUUUUAUAAAAGGGACUCCCUCACUUUCAUUAGAGAGAGACUCUUAGCCCAUCACUUAUGUAUUGAGGAGCGAACCCUUAUUCUAUAAAAGGGACUCCCUCACCUUCAUUAGAGAGCAUCGCCGCCAGCUGAGCAACCACCUCGCAACGAGCAUAACUCUUAACCCAUCACUUAUGUAUUGAGGAGCGAGCCCUUAUUCUAUAAAAGGGACUCCCUUACCAUCAUUAGAGAACAUCGCCGCCUGCUGAGCAACCGCCUCGCCGUGAGCAUCAACUCUAGCCCAUCAUUUAUGUAUUGAGAAGCGAGCCCUUAUUCUAUAAAAGGGAAUUCCUCACCUUCAACACCACAAGCCGAGCCAACCAAGGCAACAUAAGCCACAAGUCGAGCAGCCUCGUAACAUGUGCUACUUCUAGUUGAACAACAUUUCACAUUGAGUACCGCCUCAUAUCGAGUAGCAGUUCUAGACGACCUCUAGUUACUGGCCCACACAUGGACUGAAUUUCAAGUCUCCAGCCAAAAGACUUUCUUGACUGAAGACUUGAGGGACUACUGUUUGUACCAUAUUUAAGGCCUCCAUAUUUAGACCUCGUAUAAAUACUCGGAGGACUCAAAUGUAAUUAUGUAAUAAAUAAAGGGGCAAAUAUGUAAUAAGUGAGGAGCCCUUAUUCUAUAAAAGGACUAAUCACUCUCCUCAUUUAGGGAUGUGAAGGUUUAGGCCAUGGGAAGAGAGAAAAUAGGCUAGAGAGCACACUGCCUCUAACCUUCUUGUAUAUUCACCAUUCAGAGUGAAACAAUAUGAACAUCAGUGUGGACGUAGCCCAAACAUUGGGGUGAACCACGAUACAUCUUGUGUUCUUUACUUUCUUGCAGAUUCACGGUCGGAUUUACGUUGUUCCAAGACCCCUCCGGUUUUGUGCAUCAACACAUAUGAAGUAGCAGCAUUUAUUUGAUUGGACACAAAAUGUGAAGACAUAUUCAUCAUAGAAGUAGGCAUAGUAGGCAUAAUGAAAAGCAUAUUAUACAUGGAUUGAUGAGGCAUACUAGAAAAAGUAGUAUUCAUAGCACUCAUCUAUGAAUUAGAAUUCUUCCCUUUAUUUCUAUAAAAGCAUGUCUUUGCAGUAUGAUUAUUUCUGUCACAAAUUUGACACUUUUCAAAGGUAUCAGAUGUUUCAGUGGACCUAUAAACACAUGCUGCAGGAGAAUGACCUUGCUGAGAACAUAUUUGACAGAUCACAAUAGAGGAAGGCCCACCAUUACUGAAUUAAGAAGGGUUCCCAAGAAUACCAGGAGCAUAAUCAUACACGAUUGGUUUAGAGUUAUAGAACUUUUGACCUUGAUUAUUGUAAUACCUCUGAUUAUUAGAUGUUUUGCCUUUGCCAUUGUACUUAGACUUGUUUCCUCCAUAAUUGCCUUGAUAAUUUCCAGAAUUGCCUCGAUAUCCAUUAUUGUCGUGAACCCCAGAAUUGAAGGUGCCCUGAAAUCCAGAAGAAGAUUCUCCAUUAUUAUUCUGUGAGAAAUAAGGACCGUUAGAUCCCAUAUCUUGGUUCUUGACUACCAUUGCAGACAAGGAUGAAGUGGUAUAAAUAUUCUCAAUAAUUGCUUCCUCUGCCAGUAACUGUGCACGAAAUUCCUUCAAAGAAAUGACAUUUUCUCUACCACGAAUGACACAUCAAAAAGUGUUGUAUUAUGUAGGUAACCCAUUUAAUGCCAAAAUCACAAUAUCUUCAUCAACAAAAGUAACCCCAGCAGCAGCAUGAUAAUAUCUUGCUUCCUUGAUCUGUUGAAGAUAUAUUGUAAUAGAAUUUGUGCCUUUCUUGAUUGUUUGUAAAUUAGACUUCAAUUGGAAAAUGGAAGUCUUGCUCAUAGUAGAAAAUUGUUCCUGAAGUCGAACCAUAAGUCUUUAGCACUAGAACUGCCAAUAGCACAAUAAAUUGCCAUAGAAGAUAAAGUGGCUGUGAUGAGUUACAUCAAAGCACGAUCAUGCAUCUUCAAUACCUUGUAAGCAUUAGACUCAAUUCUGGAUUCAGGGCCAGUAGAAGUAACUCCUGAAUUGUCAAGAAACUGCGAAGGACAAGGAUUUGUGCCAUCCAUAAAAUCCAUAAUGCCAUAACCUUCAAACAUCAACUUCAUCUGAAAAUGCCAUUGAAGAUAAUUUGUAUCAUCCAGCUUGACUGUUACCGACGUUAACACAUAGGAAAUCAACCCAGUAAUCGGUGAUUGCAAAAUUUGCAAUUGAUUUGCAAUAACCAUGUUGAAUCUUUCUUUGAGAAAAAACAUCAAACACCUGGUGUGCAAGAAAAAUAUAUGAUGCGGAGAACCAAGAAAUGAAGAAGAAUCGCCCAUAAAUUCUUGAAAGACAAGAACAAAUAAGAGAAAAAAGAAGAUUGAUGAGCGGAAGCAAAAAGAACCAAGGACCGAAGACCCUUAACAGACAUAAGCGGUUUGGGCGAGUAAUACCAUGUUAACCAUAUUGCAGAGCUUCAAUGGAGAGAUACAGAGAAAAGUUGAGAGAGAAGAGAGAAAGAGAGAGAGCUUGGAAAAGAAGCUACUGAAUGUUAUAUUAGAUUUUUUGUAAUUACAACAGUACACAAUCUUACAUUUUGUAAGAUCUUAGCCUAACUGCCUUAUCUACUUUAUUACAAUCUUAUCUUAUACACUUCAUUAUACCGACUACAACAACAUUGUGUUACUAAUCUCCUUGAUGAAUGACAAGUGGCAUAAUCCUCUUCAUUCAUUAUUUAUACUCUAACAAUAGCUUCGCCUAUGGUUCCACUAUAAAACCAAUUAGCAUUAUGGGGAGUAGCCCAACCUCUUAUAAGCUCAUGCAAGGUCCUUCCUCCCAUCAAUGUGGAAUUCAUUCUCAACAAAAACUCCUACUUCCAUAUAAUUCUGUCAAUACAACUUCUAUACAAUCAGAUGAAACCUCAUAAUCUCCUAAAUUUUGUUCAAGUUAAAGUUAAAAAGUGAGUUAUUCAUGAAUCACCUUCCAAACCCGGCUGUCAUGGUAGAAAGGAUAAAAUUCAUCCUUCUAUUUUUAAUUUGAAAAAUAUUAUAAGAUAGACAUUCACUUUCUUCAACGUAUAUUGAAUCUAAUGAGUUAUGAAAUUCAAUCAAAUCUAAACACCAAACAAAGCCUUAGAGGUUAUGAAAUAGAAUUGAGUUGUUAGAUCUUGGAUAUUGAAUUACUGACCAAGAAUUCCCAACGAGGCCUCAUGUUAUGAAAUAAAAUUUAGUUGUUAGAUCAUAGUUGUUGAAUCAUUGACCAAGAAUAAUGGCUAAAACUCCUAGUGUAUAGUAAACAACGAAGCUACUAACAAAUGUCCUCCAGAGUGGUUAAAAUUGAAAACUUGCUCGGAUUUACAAUAGAACAAAUGAUGUUUUUAAUCUAAACGAUUUACAAUUGGUUGACACAAUAUCGAAGCUUAACAAUUAAGCAACGAGGAAAAUGAAGAGCUAAUUAGAUAGAUAGCUAGUGAGCGAGUGAGGGAUCAGUUAGCUAGAGACCCAUCGAGAGAUUUGGUCCACAAGUUUUUUUUUUUUUUUUUCUUACCUGGUUUUGGACAAAACAUAAAUAAUGAGAGGGAUUCUGAUGUACCCGCAUGUCAACAAGAAGGAAGACGGAAUAGAAACCAAUUAUGCACCAUGCACGAUUGGCCAUUAAUAUCAAGGGACCCCGACCUUAAUUGUGUACCUAACUAGGUGCCAGCAACCGAGAUUUUGGAAGGCGAAAUAUUGUUUGGGGUACAAUUUUUUCUUUUCUUUUCACCAACUGGGAAAACAUCAUACAAGGUUAAUAUUUUGUAAUUACCUGGUUUUACCCAUUCACGACAUAUAUAGUGAAGAUAUUGCACAAUUUUAUACAUUAAUUGUUUCAAUCAAGGGCGAUAUUUUUGUGAACUACCGAUAACUGGCUAUGAAAUAACACUAAAUUGACAGAAAUUAAAUGUUGUUUCUCGUUGUGUUUGUAUUAGAUUUGUCGGUACAAUGAAAUUCACAUGAAAUUGGUAUAAAAUUGACGCCAAAUUGAAGAAAGUUUAGAUUCUAUGGUAAGAUAAAUUGACAAUAUGUGGAGUAAUCCAACUUACUCAUAAGCCAAUGUAAGGUUUCUUCUUCCAUCAAUGUGAGAUUCAUUUUGAACAAACCCCCUCAUGUAUAACGAAUUUUCAAGCCUAAUACGUGGAUAACAUAAAUAGGGUAACGUGGAGCACGUGUGAUCGUUGGGCUUCACGCACGGGACAAUCUUCUCUCAUACCAUAAAGAAAGUUAAGAUUCUAUCAUAAAACCAACUGAUAAUGAAAUCUCUUCUUCCAUCAACGUGAGAUUCGUUUUCAACAAAUGAAUUAAGUAGGAUGAAUGGUAAAGUUACAGAAACUUCGUCCAAUUUGGAACCUAUUAUUUGUACAAUGGAUUUGAUUCCCCUUAGAUGGCAUUUUAACACGAGAGGCGUGAAUUUCGUUUAUGAAACUUAUCUUAGGGCUUUCGCCAAUCAUAUAAUUAAGUACUUUCUCUUUCAAGUGGUGGUAAGUGGCGGAUCAUUUAUGUGAUUAGGCUAAUAAGUUUGAAUUUGGGCUUAAGAGAGCAUCAAGGGACUCAACUGUAAUAAAAAAAUUAGAUCAUGGAACGCACCAAAAGCAUUAAUUUCAUCACACCCACCAACUAACUCCUCCCAACUCCUACCAGACGUACAUGCCUUUUUUCUUCUGUAGUUCAGUUCACUUUAAGUAAUAUGUUUCUCACCAUACUAGCCGACCACGUAUGGGACUUCCUAGCAAGAAGAUAUAUCAAAGAAAAUACACGGUUGGUUAUGUAUAAUUUUGCACUUGUAAGUGGAAUGUCUUGGUUAGGUUUGAUUUGCUUAGAUAACAAAUUUAAAAUCAAAUUGUUAUGAUCAUCCAAUUGUAUGACUUGCCCCAGAUAUCCCUUACAUUUUAAAAUAGAGUGUUUUCUUAUAAAAAAAAGAUCAUUUUUCACUGUAAACAAAUCAUAAUUUGAUUUAUGUUCCGACGAGUUUUCAAUAACUUUAAAAUGUAAGGAGUUCAAAUUAAUAAUUCAUGGAAAUGAUUGCUGUAACAUGUAAUUAAACACGUAAACGUGGCCACAAAAGUUGUUGACCACAAUACCCUUAGUUCAACUAUUCUUUCUCAAUUUUUGUCUAUAUAAGCACCACACCAUAGUGCCUUUAUAACUCACUAGCUACUCGAGUUUUCAAAUCAAGUUCUUUCAUAUCCAUCUUUCAUACACAUAUUUGGUAAUCCACAGCCUUUUUAAGUCAUUAAUUAUGGCUAGCUCUGCAGUGACCAAGCUUGCUUUGGUGGUGGCCUUGUGCAUGGCGGUGAGCGUUGCUCAUGCCAUAACAUGUGGCCAAGUGACCAGCAGCCUUGCGCCAUGCAUUGGCUACGUGAGGAGUGGCGGAGCUGUCCCUCCAGCUUGCUGCAAUGGAAUCAGAACCAUUAACGGCUUGGCCAGGACCACCGCUGACCGCCAGACUGCUUGCAACUGCCUGAAGAAUCUUGCCGGCAGCAUCAGUGGUGUUAACCCUAACAAUGCAGCAGGGCUUCCUGGAAAGUGUGGAGUCAACGUCCCCUACAAGAUCAGCACCUCCACCAACUGCGCCACGUAAGCAUUACAAAACCCUAAUUCCCGUUGAAUGUCAAACCAUUAGAUCUUUGAUCUAAGUUGAACUCCAUAAACCCGAAAAAUAUGCAUACAUCGUUGCUAAUUGUUUUUGUUUUGGCUAAUGCAUCUUCCUCAAGAACAACAAUAUAAUUUAUUGAUUUUUGUGUUUUGUUGUUGUGUGAUUGCAGCGUGAAGUAAGCGAUGGGAGAUCAUUAAUUUCCGGCCGCAGAUAAUGUUUAGUGAGAAUAAAAUGUGCUUCUGCCAUCCGGCCACAAGGGAUUCCUCAUGAGGGAAUCGUUUAAGUUGUUCUAGUACUUCUGUAUCAUCUACUAGGCCAUCAAUAUUAAUUAUAAUACUCGUCCAUGUUGAAUUAAUGAAUAAUAUUUAAGUUUAAGGAAUGUUGUCCUCUUUUGCUAUUCCAUUUUACUUACUUAAAUCCCUCUUCCUCCCAUCAGAAACUAAACAAAAAUGAAACGGAAAGAGAAAAAAGGAAGCAAAAUUAGCAUGAACAACCGCCGGAUUGAAUUUUUCACCAAUAACUCGUUAAUUAUAAGAUGGGUUUAGUUAAAAUAGUUAUGGAAAAGAAAGGAAAGAAAGAUGCAAUAAUAGAACAAUUCUUGUCCUAGUGUACAGUACAAGAAUAGCUUGUAAUCGAGAAAAACUCAUGUAGUAUAUGGGACGGUAAAUAUGAAUCAGUGAACAUCGCAUGAUAUUAUUAUUUCACGAAUUAUUAAUGAAGACUUAUGAUGUAGUUGAGAGUAUUACAUUUUUUGCUCCUCAAAUAGAGUAAAAAUUCAAAAUCUUUAGGUUUUUUUUUUUACUUUGAAAGCCAAUUGAUUAAAAGCUCCUUAUGGUUGUUGAGCCUGCUAUUGUUAUAUAAUAAAAUCUCUAGGUAUUACAUAUAAUGCUUUUAGUUGAGGAAAACGAACUACUUUGGGGUCCUAACCCUGUUGGCACUUUCUUUGUCAAGUGAGCUACUUGGUUACAAAAGUACUGAUACCUAAGCUUCUUUUAGAGCUAGUGUUCAAAAUACGGGUAGAAACAUAGUAUACUACACAAAGCAAAAAUCUUUUCUGGCUCCGGCCGGGUAGACUUAAAACAAGAGCAAGAAUUGCUAAUUUUCAUCUUAAUACUGAUCUUACUUCUAUCUAUAUUAUAAUCUCACUCACCAUAAAAAGUUAAAAAUUUUAAAUGUUAUUUCUCCCUAGAAUCCCUUUCUCCACCCACUAUACUAUUCCUAAUUAACUUCUAAUAUUAUCUAAAGUCUUUUUUAAUUUUCAGAAGAAUGAUUGUCAAUAUGUUUUCAAAACGAACCAGCAUUCUCUUCUUUAGUCGCAGCACCACAACUCGAUUACCCUUGCCGCACCAACACGCCUCAAAACGCCACUCACCCCCGUCAACAACCAAACCUUUGAAACAUGGUAAAUGUUCAGAUCGAAAAAUUUGCUUUCUACACGUCCUGUGCCGAUCGUUCCUCACGGCGAGCAUCUCCUCUCUCUGCUACCUUGUUCUUCGAACGUUUGGCGUCAAACUGGACAGCCAGGGUCUUUUCUCUUGCCUUUUCACAUGUAUUUUUAUUUAAUGACCUCAAAUUCACUAUUUGAAAAUAGUAUUAUUUUCCAAGUUCUACCUAAAAAGAAAACUAAAAAAAAUGAAAAACAGCUAACAAACAAUUUUAAAACAGGUUUCAUUUCUUUUCUAAAUUGAAAAGAACUAAACCUAAAAAUUAAAUGGUUAACAAAUGAGACCUUAGUAUAGUCCAGCCGUUAUUACGUACCUUUUGGUAAGCAUAAUACAAUGAUUUCCAUCAUGAUAAUUGUGGAGCAAAAAAUAAUCAAGAAAAUUAUGAAGGUGACAUGUGGACUUUUGGGUGAAAAGGAUAAAAUUACCCUUGAGGUACACCCGGAUUCCCACUCGCAUGCAACAGAUAAUAACGGCUCAAUCAAAGAAGAGUCAAAAGUGAUCAAAAUGAUAUUUAUUUAAACUCCUCUCAUCACUCAUCAAAUAUUUAUUCAAAAGGUAACUCCCAAUUUUCCUAUUCAAUUUAGGAUUAAUUGCCAAGUUAAUUGCAAAAUAUUAUUUCAUAUAAUAUCUUGCAAUUAUACUCACAAUUUCACCAUAUAUGGCCGGCCCCUAUUCUCCAAAUAGGGCCAGCCACUCUCCUAUAAAUAGUCAUAUUCUCCCACUAAAAAAUUAAGCCAUUUGCUAAUCAUAAACUCCCAAACACAUUCUUUUCAUAAUUCUAACUUUGGUAUCGGAGAUUUUUCGGCCAAAGCCCUCCCCCCAAUUCAUCGUGGACACGUGAGACUUUUGGUCUUAAUCUUAGGUGUUAUUAUUUUGUAGGUGCAUUUUCGUCAAAUGAGAAGACCGCGGAAAUUUGCAUCCACAAAUUGGUGCUUUCAUUGAGAAUCUUAAAUCACAAGCUCGAAGAAGACUCUCGCAUUCAAAGUUUCUCAUUUCUCGUUCAUUUGUAGAUUUUUUGUACGUUCUUAUUCCUAUAUUUUUUUAUAAAGUUACAAUGACUAGAAAUUCGGAAACCACAACGAGUGGAACUUCCUACAUUCAAGGAUUUGGACCAAGUGAUGGAGAUCGUGACAUAGCCUUACCACAACAAUCCAUGAGGCUCAACAUGAUGACGAGUAGAGUGGCACCAUCCCCACAGAGAACCAUCGUGGCCAUGCCAACGGCAGCAGCCACCGUAGCAGCUCACAGUGAAGGCAUCACCUUGCAGUCGCUAGCCCAAGCUCGAGCCACUUGCAGCAGUGAGCCCAGGCCUGUGCCACAAGGGAGCUUAACAUGGCUCAGUGCAAGCAGGCCCAAAUUGCAGCCGCAUUUGACAAAGUAGUAGCCCAAGACCAGCAGGCCCGAGUCACGCAAAGGGGAGCCUAGUGCCCACGCGCUUCACUGCCCCAUGCUAUUUUUGUGGCCCUCAAAGCAAUCCAAGACCAGUUCAAUCAUCUUGGCUUCAAAUUGUUAGGCCGACAAUUGAACCGGGGGUAUUUUCGCCCUAUUUUUCUGCAGAUUUAGCAUAUCCUCACUCAAAUGGCAAACAACACUUGUCUCGACAAGUCAUAAAGUUGACAAGCACCCUCGCGUAACAGACAACCUUGGUAAAUCAGCUUUUGCAGUGUCCCGAAGUAGGACAUGAGCAGACAACGAACCUCUCUAGCAGCGUCCCGGCAAGCAAUCACUCAAUUAGUCACAAACCGAUCAUUCUAGCAGUGUACACUAUCGACUGGGCCACCGAGAUAGCGUAUACUCUCAGUUAGGCCCACAGACAAACAUACAUUAAAUGUUAGGGCCACACUUCGAUAAUCAACAUGAGCAACCUUCUAGGCGAAGUGUUCAUUCGUGGCUAAGCCCGCAAGGAGCAUCCUCUACCUCACAUUGGAGUAGGCAGCACAACGGACGGAGAGAAACAGACACUCAAUUUGGUAAAGUUGAAUCGGCAUCCUGCGAGAAAUUCGCUUGCCUGCUAGGAACGUACCAUAUGCACCGCAGCCAUCUCAUAAACGAGCUGAACACAUGGAAGAGCAGCUUAGACCAGCAGGUCACGACCGAGGGCAGCUGAGAGCUCCGCUACCCCCAAUAAAUGCAAAUUCAAGAAGAAGUAGAGAGACACUUGACCUAGCGAUUGGGCGAUUUCCAACGCAACGAGGUCACUGACGAGGCACUAUAACGAGACACGACCAACAUAAAUAGGUCAUCCUUCACGGACGACAUCAAGCAGGCAUAGCCUCAAUUCAAAUUUAGCAUGCCACAUUUCACAUCCUUCAAAGGGGAUGAAGACCCGAAGAGACACUUGAAGCACUACCAAAGUAUAAUGAUCCUUUAUCGGAACAACGACGAUCUCAUGUGUAAGAUAUUCGCCACCACUUUACAGGGCAAGGUGCAAGAUUGGUUCCGUACCCUGCCACCACAAUCCAUUCGGAGUUUCAAUAAGCUCUUUUGGUUUACACCAAGGAGUAUUCAUUCUACUGCUCGAUUAAAAAGAAGUCCAACCAUUUGUUCAAUGUCAAGAAGAACCCAAAUGAGUCUUUUCGCAACUAUGUGAAGAGGUUUAAAGUAGAGAAGGCAAAGAUAGUCAAAUGUGACGACUCGAUAGCUAGUGCAGCCUUCUAAAAAAGACUCCCAGUAGACCAUCUAUUGUUUGGAGAAUUGAUUAUGAAAGAAGAUCUAACUAUGACAGACUCUUUCGCUCUGGCAGAGAAACAUGCACUUUGGGACGAAGCACAUCAGGCAGACAAGGCACUCGAGCAGCCUCGAAAAGAAUCGGCAAUAACUCAAAAGAAAGAGGACGGAAAGUAGUACAACAACAUAAAUAGGUAGAAGGCCGAGCAUAUGGACCGAUCCUCGACUAAAGAAAGCCUGACGCCCAAGAACUAUUAUAAGUUCUUGAUCCUGAUCCAGUAAAUCCUCCGCGACAUCAAAAGCGAACCAUGGUUCAAGCUGUCGAAACAAUCAAAGCGAGAUACCUCCAAGUUGGACCACACCAAGUACUGCGCAUUCCAUCGAGGUUCCAGUCACACAACUGACGACUGCUACACUUGGAAGAACUACCUAGAGAAGUUGGUAAAAGAAAGCAAGGUGGAAAAAUACUUAGACAAGCCAGCUGCGUAUCUUAGAAGAAACGCAGAUGCUGACGAAGAGCCGAUAACCAAGACAAUUCGGAUCAAUGACAUCUCCACUGAAUUCGAGCACUUGGGGGCCACCAACAGCUCCAAGAAAAAGGAAGAUCCAGCAGGCUCUACUAGUCUCAUAGGUCCAGGCAGUCAACACCCAACCUAGACCCAUCGUUGGCUUCAUCGAGCAAGAUGCCGAAGACAUCGACUUCCCACAUAACGACGCACUAGUGGUAUCUGUCCAACUAGCCCAUGCCAUAGUCGAUAAAAUGAUGGUUGACAAAGAAAAUGCAAUUAACCUACUUCAGCUCUCAGUGAUUCAGAAGAUGGGCUUGGAAAACACAAUCAUACGCCGAGCAGAGGUACUUACUAGAUUCAACGGACACACCUUAACUGCCAUCGACAACAUUACACUUAACGUGAGAAUACCGCCAGCUGUUUCAAAGUAGAUGUUCACGAUAGCAAGUGACAUGUCUCCCUACAAUAGGAUUCUAGGGCGACCUUGGCUGAUAAAGCUUGAUGCCGUAACCUUCAUCAAAUAUCAAAAAAUUCAAUUCCACAUUCCAGGAUGAGGAAUCAGAAAAAUCAAGUCUAACCAAGCCACAUCUUGACAAUGCACUGUGCACAUACUGAAUGAGUAAAAAAAAAAAAGACAUUUACCCUAGUAGAGGCUAUCGAGGUCCAAAGGGAUGACGAAGCUACCAAAUAGUAAUUACAACAGACGGAUCAAGAAGAUGGUGUCCAAAUCAAUAAACCAGUAGACAAGACGGGAUAGAAACCUGAAGAGGAUGCCGAACACAUCAUUCUUGGUCCCCAGCAGCUAGAGAAGACUGCUAGAAUUGACUUACGUCUAAGCCCUAAAGAAAAUGAGAAACUUACGACUUUCCUUAAGGAAAAUUGUGACGUCUUCACAUGGUCACAUUUUGCACAAGUUGCACGUUGACCCCACUACAAAACUGGUAAUCCAAAAAAGAAGACAUUUCACACCUGAAUGAGUGGUGAUCAUCGAAGCUGAAAUCGACAAGCUAUUGAAUGACAGAUUCAUAGAAGAGGUAGCACACUCAGCAUGGCUUACCAACAGCAUGCUAGUAAUGAAGAAAUAGAAGGGUAAAUAGAUAGUUUAUGUAGACUACACCGACCUCAACAAAACAUGCAUGAAGAAUCCUUAUCAAGUUCAUCGAAUCGAUAUACUAGUAUAUUCAACUUCCGGGAACCAGCUGUUUAGUUUCUUGGACGCAUACUCCGACUAAAACCAAAUAGCCAUGCACGAGGCCGAUAAGGAAAAAACAACGUUCGUGAUCGAACGAGGCACCUACUGCUACAAGGUCAUGCCUUUUGACCUCAAGUACGUGGAAGCCACUUACCAACAAUUGGUAAACAUGAUGUUUAAGAAGCAAAUUAGAGUAACCAUGGAGGUUUACGUCGACGACGGUGAAAGGCAAGUAGCGACCAGACUACAUCGACAACUUGGCGGAAACUUUUGACAUCCUUAAAAAGUACAAGAUGAAGCUCAAUCCUGCCAAAUGCACAUUUUGAGUAUCUUCAGGCGAAUUCUUAAAGUACCUAGUGACCCAAAGAGGAAUCAAAGCACAUCCCAAGCAGAUCCAAGCAAUCCUAGAAAUGAAAUCUCAAACUUCCUUGAAGGAGAUCCAAAGUUUGACCGGAUGAACAGCCACGCUUAACUGCUUCCUCUCGUAGUCGCGGAAGACUUAUACAUCUACUUGACAAUCUCAGAAAUUGCAGUAAGCUCUGCCCUUAUACGAGAAAAGUUGAGGGCCCAACUGCCGGUAUUCUACACUUCUAAAGCUCUUCUCGAUAUGGAAACCAGAUAUCCGAGAAUCGAGAAAUUAAUUUUGGCACUAGUUGUUGCAGCUCGGAAACUCAGACUAUAUUUUCAAGCUCAUACAGUCAUCAUCAUGACUUAGUAUCCUUUACGAUCAAUCUUACAUGGUCCAAAUACUUCUCAACGAGUAAUGAAAUGGGCGUUGGAACUUGGCUAAUACGGCUUAGUUUUCCAACCCUGAACGACGAUAAAGGCCUAAGCCUUGGCGGACUUCAUAGCAAAGUUCAUGCCUAGCUUAGGCAACUCCAACAGAACGACCUAACGACGCCCCGGAAGCAUUUGAGCAUGCCUUAGCCAAGCCUGCUUCACCCGAUUGAGACUUUUAGCAUUUGCACGUUGACAAUGAAUCAAACUACAAGGGCUCAGGAGCAGGUGUGGUUCUUGUCACCUUAGACAGUUCGAUGCUCGAGCAGGUGAUCACUCUAGGCUUCAAAGCAUCCAACAACGAAGUAAAGUACUAAGCCCUAAUUGUAGGCUUCCGAAUGGCAAAAGAUUUGGGGGUGUAAAAGCUUGUAAUUCAUUAUGAUUCUCAGCUAAUCACCAGCCAGACUAUUAGAGAGUACACGAUAAAACAUCCAAAGAUGGCGCAAUACCUAAAAAAGGUACGAAAGCAACUUGAAGCAUUUCAGACUUCCCCCCUCACUCAAGUUUCACGGGAAAACAACACUUACGCGGACGCACUAGCCAGCCUAGGCUUCGCCCUUGACCAUCAACUCAAAUGCUCUAUUGGACUAUCUAGACAAGCCAAACAUAGAGACGGAGCCAGUAAUCGAGGUGUCACAGGUUAGUACAACUCCAAACUGGAAAGAUUCCAUUAUAGAUUACCUGGUCAAUAAAACAAUUCCCAUGGAAAGAUUGGAGUCUAAAAAGCUCCAAAUAAAGGUAGCACACUACUACAUAUGGAACGGCAUUCUCGUUCGAAGAUCCUAUACUGGACCAUAUCUCUGUUGCCUAUUGUCUCCCGACGACCUAGAGGUUUUAAGUUCAAUCUAUGAGGGCAUUUUUGGAAAUCACUUCGGAGGUCAAUCCUUAGCAAAGAAGGCUCUUAACACAAGUUACUACUGGCCUACUAUGCAUUAAGACAUUAAGGAGUUAGUACUAAAGUGCGACCGCUACCAACGCUACAAGCCAGUACCAGCAUUGCCUGCCAGAGCCUAUGAUAACCACAACUUAGACGGACAUAGAGCAUUUCAUAUGAAGGAACAUCAUCUGUCAAUUUUGCAACCCUUAAUCCAUCUAGUGCGAGAGGGUAAACCAAUUCCCUGACACCCAUAUGGGUUUACUCUCCAAUGCGAAAGGAUAAACUAUACACUCUGAAUAUCCAAACGUGGAUGAGUCAAGUUGCCCUGGUGUAAUUAGAUGCACGAUGGCUUAGGCCGGGAUUCCCAGAAGUAGCCACAAUGGUUUUUUUCAAGGCUUAGCUAACUGAAGGAUUUUGGGUCUUUUAGCAUAAUCCGUGGGGAACUGGGCCUUAUAGAUGGAUGAGGCACAUUACGCAGUAUGCCCUAUAGACGGUUGUCCUGGAACCCUAAAACUGCUACAGAGUGCACAAAGGUAGCCUAUGGUUUCCAGAAGACUACCUACAGCUUGCAUUUCAGGCAGUAAGUCGCACUAAACUUAUACAAUCACAUAUUUUUGUGAAAGGUUAAACAGUUAGUGUGCAUAUACGAAACUUUAUCCACUGUCGACAUGCUAUGCAGUCGAUAAGCUUCACCUAUGACAAGCACAGAAUGAUCGUUUAGAUAUACACUAAUUCCUAAAUUGUUGUGAUACUUGUUACGUAACCUACGGAAUUGGUUACAUAAAGAGCAAGAAGUUCUCUUGGACCUUUGCUUAUGAAAUUCCAUACAACCACGUACUUUUAAUGCGAAAGGAUAGCGAAUAUUAUGACCAAAAAAUAUUUAUUAUGUUAUGAUGCAGGCCACACAACUCAAAGGAUUGAAGAAAGCCAAGGUUAAUAGUCAAGUGCUCACGCAAACUCGUUUGCUUUUGUAAGUAAGGCAUCCGACUGCCGACCCCAUGGCUAACAACUAUGCAAAAGUUAUAUACCAACACCUACAGCUACAUAGGCUACACGGGCUUGUCUAUUUAUAGAAAAGCAUCAUGCUUACUACUGGUCUAAAGUCAAAGGUUGGGCAUAAACAAAAGAAGCGAAGAUGAAGAAAAACGAAGGAAGCAAGUUUAUUAAAUUUUCUAGCAAAAUUGAGAAACAAAUAGCAAAGGCCAAAGGAGUUCAAGCAAAGCAAAAAGCUACAAGGAAAACAAAGAAAAUCCUAAAGGCUACCUAGAAGAUUAUUCUUCAGCAACUUGGACACCCCACAACUACUCGUUAGCCAUACCUUCAGCAGCUGCGACGCUCUCAAUAGCGGCAUCAUCCAGCGUUUCACCCUCGGCUGUCUCAACUUGGGCACCAACUUCUCUGACUACUUCACCAAUGGAAGCCUCAAAAGUAAAGGCAAUCAAGUUUUCUAGAAAAAUAGAGAAGGUCUCAAAAUCUUUCCCAGCAAACUUAAAGUCAGACGGCCUACCAAAGAGAUAAUCUAUAUAAUCGAGCUUGUAGAAAUCAACCUAACUCUGUACAAGCGAAUCCUGUUAGCAAUCAAACUAGCUACCUUUGGCAUAACAAGUGUCACCGACUCAAAUCUAGCAGCCUCAUCUUUCUUCCCCUUUGAAGAAGUCAAGUCAAUCAUAAGCCUAUCGGCAGUAGGCGGACCUUCAUGAGUAGCGGAGGAAGUCUUCGGCUUUUUCUCAGCCAGCAUCUCUUGAGCAGGCGGGGAAGAUCUUUUAUUUCCACCUUCAUUCACAGCAGGCUCCACGACAGUGAUCAGACAAGCUAAUGCCUCCACCUUGAUCUGCUUUAUCUCCUCUAUCGGGGACAGCCCACCUUUCUCCUAACGAAUAGGACUAAGCAACCAACGCCAUUCACGAUACUUAGCAGGGAUACCCAAAGUAAAGGAAGAUCUUUAUAACUGUUGACAUUUCCUACGAGCAGCCUAACAGGUGUGGGGGCAUUUGUGGAUCUAAAAAUAAUCAAGAAAAUUAUGGAGGUGACACGUGGACUUUUGGGUAAAAAUGAUAAGAUUACCUUCAAGGAACACUGAGAUUCCCACUCGCAUGCAACGGACAAUAACGGCUCAAUCAAGAAAGAGUCAAAGGUGAUCAAAAUGGUAUUUACUCAAAUCCCUCUCAUCACUCCUCAUCAAAGCUUUAUUCAAAAGGUAACUCACAAUUUUCCUAUUCAAUUUAGGAUUAAUUGCCAAGUUAAUUGCAAGAUAUUGUUUCACAUAAUAUCUUGCAAUUAUACUUACAAUUUCACUAUAUAUGGUCGGCCCCUAUUCUAUAAAUAGGGUCAGCCACUCCUUUAUAAAUAAUCAUAUUCUUCUACUAAAAAGCUAAGUCAUUUGCUACCCACAAACUCCCAAACACAUUCUUUGACAUCGGAGAUUCUUUGGCCAAAGCCCCCCCCUCCAAAUUCAUCAUGAGCGCGUGAGACUUUUGGCCUUAAUCUUAGGUGUUAUUAUUUUGCAGGUGCAUUUUUGUCAAAGAAAAAGAUGGCGGACAUUUGCAUCCACAAUAAUGCUUUUCAUGUCCUUCCCCAAAUUAUAACGUCCUUCCCCAAAUUAUAAUGUCCAUCCCCAAAUUUGUACGAGGAAUUUGGUUCUCCUUUGAUGGCAUUUUACACGAGAGGCGUGAAUUUCGUUUUAUGAAACUUAUCUUAGGUUCGCCAAUAAUAUAAUUUUGUACUUUCUCAUUCACGUAGGUGGUAAGUGGCGGAUCAUUUAUGUAAUUAGGCUAAUAAGCUUGAAUCUGUGCUUAAGAGCAUUUAAGGGACUCAGCUGCAAUUACAAAAUUAGAGCAUGGUACGUACCAAAAGCAUUAAUUUCAUCACAGCCACCAACUAACUCCAUCCCAACUCCUACCAGACGUACAUGCAUGCCUUUUUUCUUCUGUAGUUCAGUUCACAUAAAGUAUAUGUUUCUCACUAUACUAGCCCACCACACAUGAGACUUAGUAGAAAGAAGAUUUAUCAAAUAAAAUACAUGGUUGCUUAUGUAUAAUUUUUCACUUGUAAGUGGAAUGUCUUGACUAGGUUCGAAUUUCUUAGAUAAUGAGUUUAAAAUCAAAUUACUAUGACCACCCAUUGUAUGACUAGCCCCAAAUAUCCCCUACGUUGUAAAAUAGAGUAUUGUUGCAUAAAAAAGAAGUCAUUUUUCAUUGUAUACAAAUCAUAAUUUGAUAUAUGUUCCGACGAGUGUUCAAUAACUUUAAAAUGUAAGGAGUUCGAAUUAAUAAUUCAUUAUGCUGAUUUAUGUAACAAGUAAUUAAACACGUAAACGUGGCCACAAAAGUUGUUGACAACUAUACCCUUAGUUCAACUAUUCUUUCUUAAUUUUUCUCUAUACAAGCACCACACCAUAGUGCCUUUAUAACUCACUAGCUACUCGAGUUUUCAAAUCAAGUUCUUUCAUAUCCAUUUUUCAUACACAUAUUUGGUAAUCCACAGCCUCUUUAAGUCAUUAAUUAUGGCUAGCUCUGCAGUGACCAAGCUUUCUUUGGUGGUGGCCUUGUGCAUGUCGGUGAGCGUUGUUCAUGCCAUGACAUGUGGACAAGUGACUAGCAACCUUGGGCCAUGCAUUAACUACGUGAGGCGUGGCGGAGCUGUCCCUCCAGCUUGCUGCAAUGGAAUCAGAACCAUUAACGGCUUGGCCAGGACCACCGCUGAUCGCCAGACUACCUGCAACUGCCUGAAGAAUCUUGCCGGUAGCAUCAGUGGUGUUAACCCUAACAAUGCAGCAGCACUUCCUGUAAAGUGUGGAGUCAACGUCCCCUUCAAGAUCAGCACCUCCACCAACUGCGCCACGUAAGCAUCACAAAACCCUAAUUCCCGUUGAAUGUCAAACCAUUAGAUCUUUGAACUAAGUUGAACUCCAUAACCCCGAAAAAAAUGCAUACAUCGUUGCUAAUUGUUUUUGUUUUGGCUAAUGCAUCUUCCUCAAGAACAACAAUCAACAGUAUAUUUUAUUGAUAUAUAUGGGAGAUUAUCAAUUUCCGGCCGCAGAUAACAUUUAGUGAAAAUAAAAUGUGCUUGUGCGGUCCGGCCACAUGGGAUUCCUCAU
rnacentral:lncRNA from 1 species